rnacentral:lncRNA from 1 species
GCCUGGAAGAGGCCUGCCGUAGUGGCUACUAUGACUAUGUAAAUAUUGCCUUUCUGGUAUCCUUUGGCAGUGGCCAAACACCGGAACUGAACUUAGCUGGCCACUGUAUCCCGAGCCCAUGCACCUUCCUGAGUUCUCAGAUAGAGGUUUGCCAGAGCCUGGGCAUCAAAGUGCUCCUUUCUCUUGGUGGAGGUGGUGCCGGGGCAGGGAGAGGACCAAUCCUGGCUUCUCCCGAGGAUGCUCGCGAUGUUGCAGCCUACCUCUGGAACAAUUACUUGGGCGGUCAAUCAGACUCUCGCCCACUUGGUGCUGCUGUUUUAGAUGGUAUAGACUUUGACAUCGAAUAUGGAUCGAACCUGUACUGGGAUGAUCUCGCCCGGGCACUCUCGGGAUACAGCACAGCAGAGAGAAAGGUGUACUUAUCUGCAGCACCACAAUGCUUCUUUCCUGACUAUUAUCUUGAUGUUGCUAUCAGAACUGGCCUCUUUGAUUUCGUCUGGGUGCAGUUUUACAACAAUCCGCCUUGUCAGUAUGGUACAAGCACAGGCAAUGCCGAUAACCUCUUGAACAGUUGGAGUAAUGAUUGGGCCCCCCAUCCAGGCGUUAAUAAAUUAUUCCUGGGAUUACCUGCAGCCCCUGAGGCAGCACCUAGUGGCGGUUACAUCCCACCUGAAGUGCUAAUUAAUCAGAUUCUUCCCGUUGUGCAGAGCUAUCCCAAGUAUGGAGGGGUCAUGCUUUGGAGCAGAUUCUAUGACCGAAACUACAGUCCAGCAAUCAGGCCUUAUGUUAACGGUGAUCCUCUGACUUAUACAACCAAGUCCGUGAAAAAAUCCCAUGCUGUAGCAUGAGUUCCUCUCAUUAUCUGCCACGAGAUGAAAUGUAGUCCUGGCUGCUUAUGCCAGAGACCAAUCUACUAAUGAAUAAUGGGCUAUGAGUUCCCCAAUCGAUUAAAAUGUUCUGUAAAUUUCUUCCCGUUUUAAUCGCUCUUUCUCUCUCUCGAAUGAAGGGGUACAAGAUCUAGUUUGAAGAACCAGUUGCACCUUCUCUUUUUUCUUUUUCUUUUUUUUUUUUUUAAUACAACUUCUUCUAGAUAAUGAUUUUUUGAUAAUAUUCAAACCACAUUUAAAUUGAAAAAGAAAAUGUUAAUUUGCAAUUGAAGUUUGAGGAACACUAUUUCCCCUCAUAUUUCAGUGCAUUACAUGGCCAACAACCUCAGAUGAUAUGCAAAUAAACUCUUGCAUGCAUGCUCAUCAAAUUUCAUAUACAAUUUUGUAGCCUACAGAGAAGUUUACGCAUGGAUGUUUAAGUAUCAGAUAAGCUUGGGCGAAGACCAAAUUUUGUGUACUAUUGAAACAUGGAACAAGAUUUCAAUCCCAUACAUAACCUCUAAAAUCACAUACAACUAUAAUUUUUGUUUCUUGUUUUUUUUUUUUCCUUGGAUGGUAUUAAAAGGUGUACAAUCUGUCUGCCUCAGAAUCACUUCCGGUCAGUGCGAGUCACUUUGAGAGUUAUGACAAUUUCACUAACCUCCCAUCAAAUCUAGAAAACAACAAUUACCUCCCCUCUUCUUAGAUUUGGUCUAAUGAUUUCAAGGUAUUUGGUAUACAUUGCCUUCUCAUGACCCACAACAAAGGGACAGCAAUCCAAGGGCUUUCGUUUUUAUUAAUUUUUUUGGAGUACAAAUUAAUUUCUCAUUAGCAUGUUAUGAAGCAUAUGAUAUUCUUGUUCGCAACAAUUUCUUUCUACGAAAAAAAAAGAACAGAGAGAAGGGGGGAAAAAAAGACUCAACUGAUGAACAUUUAAAAUGGAAACUCAUGUCCAUCCAUAAAUUAUGACAAGCUUGGUAUCUUAAAGAGAGGCGUCCUUGGGUUUAUAUUAUUUAACCAAAAUUGGUUAAAGUAAUAAGGUUGGCUUGAUUAAAAUUAUGUUUAUCAUAAUUGGGUCAUUUCUUAAAAUAUUGGCCUUAACAAAGAUGAUCCAUUCUUGAAAUUUGCGUUCUAGUAAAGCCAUUCUUGGGCAGAUGAUGACUAAGACUCUGUUUUUUGGGCUGAAUGAAACGGACGAUGCUUCAAUUUGAGGGAAAAAAAUAGGCCUUGCAUCAUGAAAUCAGUUUAUUAUUUAGCCACCAAAUAAGUAUAUUGAAUAGUUUGGAUUUUAUAACUAAUUAUAAGUAAUUGUGUCUUAAUUUUAGCUAUAAAAGUCUUUCACUUAACUAGUUAACUUAGAACACAUAUGAUGACUUCUUCCCUUGUCUCUAAAAUUUGUGAAAUUGGGCUCACAAAGAAGAUACUAAAGAAUAACAACCUUCAUUGGGAGCCGAGUACAAUUAUUUCAAAACAGCGCGCAUUACAUUCACAAAUCUGUCAAACUUUAUCUUCCAAUGCCCAAUAAACUACUGGUAUCCAAGUCCAAGAUUGCUCCAAAAUUCUAACCCUGCCCUUUUUCACAAAAUUUCAGUUUAGUCCAAAUGGAUUCUACACUAUGGUGCAACCACACAGUACAAAGGAAAGUUAAGGGAAAGCUUAUAAACGAGUGCAUGGUACGGUCUUAAGACUUCAGCCCAGACAUACUCUUAUGUUAUGUCAUAUGUAAAGGAAAAUAACUCAAAUUUUAGGCUCUGAAUCAUAUGUGAGUAGGCCUGCUUUUCUUUUAGUGCUUUAGUUUUUUUUUUUUGGUUAAAUUAUGGAAAUUACCACCUACUCAAUAUGGUCUUUUCUAGAGCAAUUCAUGGUAAUUAUCGAGUCUGAAACUACCAAAAAUUAGUACUGCUAAAGCUAUGUUUCAUAACCCUAAAAUACACCAAAGUCCAUACAUAUUACUAGGGGACUUUAUAUGUAAAAUUUAUAUAAACAAAAUAAGAUCUCAAAAUGAAGUACUUCAUAGGUAUGAUAAAAUUUAUAUGUUUCUAUUGAGACAAUUAAGCUGAGAAGUCUUUCACAACAAAUCUCUUUGAGGACCAGUUUCCCUCUCCUCACCAUAUCUCCUUACCUACUAACCUUCGCACGUUUUACCGUCUGUCCCAAGCCCGCCUCCCUCACACUCUCUUUUAGGAGAAUAAAAUUGUUUGAGAGCGAAAGCUCCCAUAUAUCAAAAGCCAGUGCUGUUCAAAUGUGUUUUCUCUCACCAUCUCCCACAAGAAGUGCGUGUUAAUACCAAUCACCUGAAUAAUAUGAAUAUGAGAAUGAACUCCUAAUGUCAUCACAAGAAUUGGUGGUAGUUCGGCUGGAGUAUAACAGUAAUACUUGUGGUAGUUGGGUUGGGGCAGGACAUAUGCAUAGUAGCUUUUGGUAGAUGAUAAAUAUAACACCUUUACCAUUUUUGUUAACAUGGUAUAUUUAUUCUUUUUCCUCUCUAUUCGAUAUUUGUUAAUUGUUAUACACUUAUACAUAGAUAGCAAGUGAGAAAGGGUCAGGCUAGUUUCAGAUAACGUGAAUAAUGUGGUUUACUUUCACUUAGUCACUCAUCGCACAACUCCUACUUUACUUCCUAUUUUGGUGGUAAUGUUCCCCAAACAUUACUUAUUGAGUAAUAGAUAAAAUUUAAUCAUGGCAAGAGCAUUUUUUUUUCGGACAUGAUAAAUCUACUCUACUCUAUACUAUGGGGAGGGGGUGAUCCAACGGGCCCAAGGGGAGGAUCCGGGGGGACUGAACUUGGGUGCCUACUAGUGUGAAUAAGUUAGAAAAUAUUUCUCAACACCCACUACCCUUAGGGGCUAGUAGUUGAGGCAAGGUCAAGUUAGUAUUUCACCAAGAAUUUGAUUUCUAACUACCAAGUUAAUAACUAAACAAUGUUUGUGUUUGGAUUACACAUUAUUUCCACCUUAUUUACACACACUGACUUGCUUAUAUCACCAACACAUUUUUUAAUCAUAUUUUUAUCUCACAUACAUCACAUCAAAAAAGUGUUACAGUAUUUUUUCACAAAAUUAUCUCAAAUAAGUUACUAUCCAAAUUGCUUAUGAUAAAAUAUUCCAUCUUCACCAAUUUUUUUUAGAAAGGGUUUUUCUUUGCCUUAUGACCAGAAGAAAAGAGCUCCAACCUGUUCUACCAGUAUGGAGCCAACCCCUUCGUUUCGUCAUGUCCCUAACUUAACUAGAUUGACCGGGGCACAAAGAGUUUACACUAGGGCUUCUAGUUCACAUGUUCUCUUUGCAAUCAUAGCCUUCUUGUCUCCAUCGGUUCCUUAGAAAUAGUCUUAUUGAUUUACUAGAAAUACACCCACUCAGGAAAGCCCGACUAAUCGCGGCAGGAGCCAUACUUAAAAGUAGCCGGUGGUGUUUCUAUGAUCAUAUACGUAAUUAUGGAGUAUUGAGUUAUGAGCUUGAGGGAACUCCAAUUAUUAAACAACGAGUGAAGGGACUAUCGGGUGAUAGGCCCAAACGGUAGUCUUAAUCUCCUCUUAAAGUCUAUUUAAGAGUCCUUGAAUGCACAACACUCCUAUAAAUCAUAUAAUCUAUUCCUUAUAUCUUUUACAGCUGCUUAAGGAAGUCUUUAUUCUCCCCCCGAGAGGGAUUAAGAGGGGGGGGGGGGGUAGUGGUCCAAUCUUGUCUUUUCAUUAGAGCUUUUUUUGUUUUUCUCUUAUUUAAAGUAUACCACAUUAGAGAAAGAGAAAACUCCCUCUAAAGGGCUUCUUUCUUGUAGGAUCCUAUAAGUCUCAUACUAACCCCUUAUAGCUGUAAGCUAUUAGCUCCCCUCUCCCUUUACUGGGCAGAUUAUCACUAGCCGCUGGGCGAGGGCCUCACUCUGCUAGUUUUCCACCUAGUAGGGUAUGGAGCUCUAUUCUUCAGAUUCAGUCUCCAAGGCCGCUACGAAGCUCUAGGAGGGCUUUCUAGUGUAUGCCUUGACUAUUUGAACCUCAUAAAACACAAGAAACUGAAAGAAAAAUAUUUACGCAGCGGAAUGAGCAAACAAUUUUUGCUUUUUCUUUCAUUCGAUGUUAUUGCUCGAAUCUGCAAAUUGAUACAGGCCUUGAUAUUUCAAAAACCAAUAAGUACUUACUUGUUUGGACGUGUAUGCAAUGCCCUCUGCUAGUUUUCCACCUAGUAGGGUAUGGAGCUCUAUUCUUCAGAUUCAGUCUCCAAGGCCGCUACGAAGCUCUAGGAGGGCUUUCUAGUGUAUGCCUUGACUAUUUGAACCUCAUAAAACACAAGAAACUGAAAGAAAAAUAUUUACGCAGCGGAAUGAGCAAACAAUUUUUGCUUUUUCUUUCAUUCGAUGUUAUUGCUCGAAUCUGCAAAUUGAUACAGGCCUUGAUAUUUCAAAAACCAAUAAGUACUUACUUGUUUGGACGUGUAUGCAAUGCCUGAUACAGAUGCUUGAAUUCCAGCAAUUAGCCUUCCACACGUUAGGCCUCUAGUUCGUCCACACAGACUCAAAACUAAUAGAUUGCUGAAUAUUGGAGUUUUUGUUUUGGUGGUGAUGAAAACAACGGUAGUCAACCACUUUUGUCAAUAGGGCAUAUAUAUAUAUAUUUACGAUUGUUUUUGAUUAGAUCAAUAUCAGAUCAAUAUCUUAUUUGAUCAAAUCAAAACAACCGGUUUAUAUAUAUAUUUUAUUCUUAUUUUGAUCAAAUCAAAAUAGAAUACAUCUAAUACCAUUAUUUAACUCACGUUUUAGUUUUUGAUCUUAUCAAAAUAUAAACAUAAUUAAUAUAAUUAUAUUAACUAUUAUUUUCAUCUUUAUGAUACUUGAGUCAUACUCAAAUACUAACUCCAAAUUCCGUCUAGCUUGGGUUUCAAGAUGUGCUAGCAUCCUUAUCAAAAUAAAAACCCAUUCUAAACAACUUCCCUAUUAAUUCAAAUCCUUUUGUGUGUGACUAUCUAGGUUCAUUACCCAGUUGGCAAUGCAAUAAACGUUAGCCUAUUAACAUUAGUUAGAACAUUUCUAACACUUGAGAAGUUCUCCAAAUAUACCUCAAGUUAACAUAGUUCAUGAGUGAUGCCUAGCAGCAUAUCAUGACACCCAACCGGUGAUGAAAGAUUGGAAUCCUUUUAUGUGAACCAUGAUUGCAAUUGUUUUGCAUAAAAAACCUUCCAUUACUAUAUCCCUAUUGAGUUCAGUUUAGUAAUAAUGUCAAACUCUAAAACUCAAUCGUAUGUCUUAAUCUAUCAAAUUACUUGACUAUAAAAUUGAUCAUCUACAUGAAUCAAUUUGUCUUGGCCAAGAACUCCUUUAGUCAAGAUCGAUAGAUUUCAUAAGAUAUCAAACCAUUCAUGAUGGAAUAAUAGAUCCCUUUUGCAUAAUCACUUGGCUCCAUGCAUAACUAAUUAGAGGUACCAUAUGCUAAUACUCAUCCGUGAUUAGAACAAGUAUUUUCAGCAUUGAUAGACUUUAACCACCCAUGAAUGAGCCAAUCGUGUUAUCUCAGGUCUAAGGAUCACAUGCACCAUUGCAAUCAAUAAUGAAUCAUUGACAUUAAUAAGCUAAUGAUUCAUUAUUUAAUUAGUCAGUGUUCAAGCCAACUUGUCACACAAGUGCCUCUCAUAUUUAUUCUAGUAUCACAUACUUAAUGGUAUGAGACUCGCCAUUCUAUUAUCAUUAAUAUCCCAUAUUAAUCAUAGAGGAUAAAUAUGAGACUAAUCUUCCGGAUUAAACUUGCCCAAUUAAUAAUCCUAUGAUUAGGAACAAUUUAAUAUUAUUUGUACCAAGUUUUUCCGUUACUCAUAUUCUCAUCACAUGAGAAUGGAACCUUAACAAAUAAUAAGGGACAACAUUCAAUCAAAUCUAAACCAAGAAUAAUUGAAUCAAGAAGUGCCAUUUUAUUUUAAUCAAGACAAUAAUUAUUAAUACUCUAGGGCAUACUGCUAACAGGCUCCCACUUGCACUAGAGCCAUUCAAUACAAUAUUUGAGUCCCAUCUUCUCAAGAUGGUGAUCUAACUGUCGUUGUGUCAUGGCCUUAGUAAGCGGAUCAGCUACGUUAUCAGCUGAAGCUAUCUUGUGCACGGUGACAUCACCUCUUCCGAUUAUCUCUCGGAUAAUAUGGAAACGACGCUCAAUAUGUUUGGACUUCUGGUGAGACCUCGGUUCCUUAGCCUGAGCUAUUGCACCAUUAUUGUCACAGUAGAGAGGUACCGGCAAUUCAAUGGUAGGAACCACUCCUAGUUCUGUGACAAACUUUCUCAUCCAAACAGCUUCCUUUGCUGCAUUUGAUGCAGCAAUGUACUCAGCUUCCGUAGUAGAAUCAGCAGUCGUAUCUUGUUUGGAACUUUUCCAACUCACUGCUCCUCCAUUACAGAGAAAAAUGAACCCAGAGAUAGAUUUUCUAUCAUCUACAUCUGAUUGAAAAUCAGAAUCUGUAAAACCAUCUAGUCUUAAAUCACCUCCUCCGUAAGUCAAGAUCAUAUCUUUAGUCCUUCUUAAGUACUUAAAGAUUGCCUUGACUGCACCCCAGUGUUCUAAACCUGGAUUAGACUGAAACCUGCUAGUAACACUAACAGCGUAAGCUAUGUCUGGUCUUGUACACAACAUUGCAUACAUUAGACUUCCAAUUGCCGAAGCAUAUGGAAUCUUAGCCAUUCUUUCUCUAUCUUCAGAUGUCUGAGGUGACAUCUUUUUCGAUAGGUGAAUGCCAUGUCUAGCAGGUAACAGUCCUUUCUUAGAUUCAAGCAUAUUGAAUUUUUUCAAUAUCUUGUUUAUAUAAAGACUUUGGGAUAACCCUAUAGUUCUUUUCGCUCUAUCUCUAUAGAUACGAAUUCCUAGAAUAUAGGUCGCUUCUCCCAAAUCCUUCAUAGAGAAGGUGCUUGAUAACCAUAAUUUUACAGAACUAAGCAUCCCUAUGUCAUUGCCCAAUAAUAAGAUGUCGUCAACAUACAAAAUUAGGAAAGUGACUGCACUCCCACUGACCCUUUUGUAAACACACGGUUCAUCCUCAUUUCUAAUGAAACCAAACGUUUUGAUUGCAUCAUCAAAUCGGAUAUUCCAAUUCCUCGAAGCUUGCUUAAGACCAUAGAUGGAUCUCUUAAGCUUGCACACUUUAUGUUGCUCACCCUCAGAUACAAAACCUUUGGGCUGAUCCAUAUAAACGUUUUCCUCAAUGUAACCAUUAAGAAAAGCUGUCUUGACGUCCAUCUGCCAGAUUUCAUAGUCAAGGUACGCUGCUAUGGCUAAUAGAAUCCUAAUAGAUUUGAGCAUGGCUACAGGCGAGAAAGUCUCCUCAUAGUCUAUUCCCUGCCUUUGGCGAUACCCUUUCGCCACUAGCCUAGCUUUGAAGGUUUCGACCUUGCCAUCAGAACCAAUCUUUCUCUUAUAGACCCAUUUGUUCCCUAUAGGUAUUAUACCUUCGGGUGGCUCCACAAGUUCCCAGACUUGGUUUGUGUACAUCGAAUCCAUUUCAGAUUUCAUAGCUUCUAGCCAUUUUGAGGAAUCUAUAUCAGAUAUAGCUUCUUCGUAAGUAGUAGGAUCAUCUGUAUGAUCAGUGUCUCCAUGUAUGAACAAUUCUUGCAUAUUCUCAUGGAGAUACCCGUACCUUUGAGUAGGACGAGACACUCUACUAGAUCGUCGAGGCUCUUGUGUUGUGACAUUGUUAUCAAUGGACAUUGGCUCUUUACCAGGCACAUCAUUCCUUUCCUGAUCAUUUUGUUGCUCAUGUGAAAUUUCAUUAAGCUCUAUCCUCCUUCCAGCAGCACCUUCUUGAAUAAAUUCUUUUUCAAGGAAGGUAGCAUUUCUACUGAUGACAACAAUUUGUUCAUCUGGAAGAUAAAAUUGAUAUCCAAUACAAUCCUUUGGAUAUCCAACAAAAUGACCUUUGACAGAUCUUGAUUCCAACUUGUCUGUCUUUAGUUUCCUGAUAUGAGCAGGACAACCAAAAAUUUUAACAUGAUUAAGGCUUGGCUUUCUUCCAGUCCACAUCUCAUAUGGAGUGGUAGGGACGGACUUAGAUGGUACUCUAUUGAGUAUAUAACAUGCUGUAAGAAGUGCAUAAUUCCAAAAUGAAAUAGGGAUAUCAGUAUAGCUCAUCAUGGAGCGAACCAUGUCCAUAUAGGUACGGUUCCUCCUUUCAGAUACGCCAUUCAAUUGUGGCGUUCUUGGAGGAGUAAGUUGAGAAAUAAUACCUUGAUCUUUAAGGUAUUCCCUGAACCCAGUGUCUAAGUAUUCACCUCCUCGAUCUGAUCGGAGAGUUUUAAUACUCUUACCAAGCUGAUUUUCUACUUCAGCCUUGAACUCUUUGAAUUUUUCAAAGCAUUCAUGCUUGUACUUCAUUAAGUACACAUAACCAUACCGAGAGUAAUCAUCAGUAAAAGUUAUGAAGUAAAUAAAUCCUCCUCUAGCCACUUUGGCAAAUGGCCCACAUACAUCACUAUGUAUGAUUUCUAGAACAUCACUGGCUCUUAUACUUUGUCCCACAAAAGGCAACCGAGUCAUUUUGCCUUGAAUACAAGGUUCACAAGUUGGAUAGGGUUCAGAACCCAUGGGUUUGAGUAAUCCCAUUUUCUCCAUCUUUGAAAUUCUGUCUCCUGCGAUGUGACCCAGUCUAAGAUGCCAAAGAUGUUUUUGAUUGAGGUUAAGUUUAGUCACUACGUUUAAAUUCUCAAACUUAGUUCCAUCUUUAUCAUCAGACAUGUGGUAUAAACCAUUUUUCUUGUAUGCCAAACCAAUACAAUCAGUAUUGUAAUAAAUCCUACAAAUAUUGCCUUUGAAUAAAAAUUCAUAUCCCACAUCAGUCAAAACCGAAAUAGAAAUAAUAUUCGUAAAAGUGUUUGGCAGACAUAAAACAUUGUUUAGGAAUAAAACAUGUCCUGAAGAUAAAGCUAAAGAAGUAGAUCCUAUAGCAGUAGCAGCAACUGUUGCUCCAUUUCCGACCUUUAGGAUCACCUCGUCCUUCCCAAGGACUCUACUUUUGGUUAGUUCCUGCAAAGAUGCACAAACAUGAUAUGAUGCACCUGAGUCAAGAACCCAAGAAGUAGAAUGAGAGCUAACUGUACACAGAGGAUUGAGGAAACAUGAAAUGGUACUACCUUCAUUUGUCUUUCCUUUUCCCUUGUCCUUUAUCGACUCAAGGUACUUAGGACAAUUCCUCUUCCAAUGUCCUUCCAUUUGGCAGUGGAAACAUUUUGCACCAACCUUGAAGUUGCCCUUCUUUUUAGAGAUACCUCCUGUAGGCUUAGGAUGAGAAGAUUUAAUUGAUUUCUUCUUCUUCUUUUUGGACUCUCCAGAAGAAGAAGCAAUCAUUAAAGCCGCUUCCUUUCCGUUUCCUUUCAUCGUAGACUGAGCAGUAACAAGAUGGUUAUGAAGUUCUGAAAGCGAUACCUCAAUCUUGUUCAAGUGAAAAUUUACAAUGAAUUGGGCAAAGGAAUCUGGUAGAGACUGCAAAAUCAAGUCUGUCUGAAGGUGAGCAUCCAUGGAAAAAUCCAAGUUUUCAAGACGCUCAAUCAUAUUGAUCAUCUUGAGAACAUGAACUGACGCAUCAGCUCCUUCAGUCAGACGAGUCCUAAACAACUCCUUAGAUAUCUCAUAUCGGGCAGUUCUGGAUUGUUCACCAUACAAUUCUUGUAGGUGAAGCAAAAUAUCUUUUGCGGUCCCCAUCUUUUCAUGCUGCCUUUGCAAUUCAUUGUUCAUAGACGCUAGCAUGUAGCACCUAGUUUGCAUGUCAUCCUCCUCCCACUUUCUAAAAGUGGUUUGUUGCGGCUCAGUCGCCCCUUCAGGCAAGGGAUUAGGAACUGGAGUCUCUAAAAUAUAUCCAAUUUUUUCGGAAUUAAGAACAAUUCUUAGAUUCCUCAGCCAAUCAGUGAAAUUGGGCCCAGUGAGUGUAUUUUUUUCAAGGAUAGUUGAGAGAGGGUUCAUGGGUGCCAUAAUAUCCAAAUAUUAGAAACUGCAGAAGAUAAUAAAAUUGAUUAGCAAUUAUCCUGAUAGAUCCAAUUUGUUUUUGGCCUUUAAAACAAACUGGUCCUCCCACUAAAUUUUUCGAAUGUCAUACUUCCAAAAUGAUAAACAGAAAUCUUUAAAUGAUCUCUAGUGGGAGAUGGGAUUCUUAUAAAAUGUUUAAUAUACCUCAGGUGAUCCCUAUAUUGGUAUAAUAAUAUUUUGUAAGUGACAACUCUUUGUCAAUACAUCUCAUGUAUACCCCAACCGAGACUUGGCUCCUAAUACUUAAGACCUCAGGCGUAUCCAAUCUUGGUCCAUCAUAUUAGUUAAAUUAAAUCCACUAGACAGUAGGCAAGAUAAUUUGAAUAUUAAUUACCUCAGGCGUUUCCUAUCUUGAUAAUUAAUAUAUUAUCCUACCCACAACAUCACAUGCUUUAUAAAAUCUACAAGAAUAUCCCUUACAUCUUUAUACUACCCCAUGUGUCCACAGCCAAUAGUACAAAUUGUAAAAUAUUCUGUAGAUCUUAAUCCAGUGGAGGGCCAUGAUACAAUAUCAUAAAGUAGGUGGAUUUUCUGGUCUAAUUAUUUCGAGGUAACACUGUGUUCAUCAAAAUCCUUUUGAUGAACGUGCAUCACAUACAUAUGUCAAAAGCGAAUAAAUAAACUCAGAUAAUCAUGGAUAACAACAACCAAAAAAAAAACAACUGAAUUAGUCUUCCUGAGCCCAUGAUUAUCCUUCAUGCCAUGUAUCAAAAAUGAAAAAUUAAAUAUUUCAUAUUAAAUAAGGAAUGCUAACAUUUAUUGAAACUAUUCCAUUUAAUGCUAACCGUUUUAAUUUCAUUGCCUUUCAAAAUUAAAUCACUAACAUUUAGAUAAUUAAUUUUGAACAAAAGAUUGCUUUCAAUAAUUAAGAUUCUUAACGUUUUAAGAAUACUUAAUUAUUAGAAGGAAACCUUUUGAAAUAUAAUCUUAACCCAUUUAAGAUAAGUCCGAAACUGAAACAAUAUGAAGCCUUUGUUUAGCACCAUGGCCGAGACAGCAACUAUUGCAAUCAGCCUUCCAAUGAAACAAAUAUAAUCAAUUGCAAAUUCGAAGCAAGGUGGCUCUGAUACCACUGAAAGAAAAAUAUUUACGCAGCGGAAUGAGCAAACAAUUUUUGCUUUUUCUUUCAUUCGAUGUUAUUGCUCGAAUCUGCAAAUUGAUACAGGCCUUGAUAUUUCAAAAACCAAUAAGUACUUACUUGUUUGGACGUGUAUGCAAUGCCUGAUACAGAUGCUUGAAUUCCAGCAAUUAGCCUUCCACACGUUAGGCCUCUAGUUCGUCCACACAGACUCAAAACUAAUAGAUUGCUGAAUAUUGGAGUUUUUGUUUUGGUGGUGAUGAAAACAACGGUAGUCAACCACUUUUGUCAAUAGGGCAUAUAUAUAUAUAUUUACGAUUGUUUUUGAUUAGAUCAAUAUCAGAUCAAUAUCUUAUUUGAUCAAAUCAAAACAACCGGUUUAUAUAUAUAUUUUAUUCUUAUUUUGAUCAAAUCAAAAUAGAAUACAUCUAAUACCAUUAUUUAACUCACGUUUUAGUUUUUGAUCUUAUCAAAAUAUAAACAUAAUUAAUAUAAUUAUAUUAACUAUUAUUUUCAUCUUUAUGAUACUUGAGUCAUACUCAAAUACUAACUCCAAAUUCCGUCUAGCUUGGGUUUCAAGAUGUGCUAGCAUCCUUAUCAAAAUAAAAACCCAUUCUAAACAACUUCCCUAUUAAUUCAAAUCCUUUUGUGUGUGACUAUCUAGGUUCAUUACCCAGUUGGCAAUGCAAUAAACGUUAGCCUAUUAACAUUAGUUAGAACAUUUCUAACACUUGAGAAGUUCUCCAAAUAUACCUCAAGUUAACAUAGUUCAUGAGUGAUGCCUAGCAGCAUAUCAUGACACCCAACCGGUGAUGAAAGAUUGGAAUCCUUUUAUGUGAACCAUGAUUGCAAUUGUUUUGCAUAAAAAACCUUCCAUUACUAUAUCCCUAUUGAGUUCAGUUUAGUAAUAAUGUCAAACUCUAAAACUCAAUCGUAUGUCUUAAUCUAUCAAAUUACUUGACUAUAAAAUUGAUCAUCUACAUGAAUCAAUUUGUCUUGGCCAAGAACUCCUUUAGUCAAGAUCGAUAGAUUUCAUAAGAUAUCAAACCAUUCAUGAUGGAAUAAUAGAUCCCUUUUGCAUAAUCACUUGGCUCCAUGCAUAACUAAUUAGAGGUACCAUAUGCUAAUACUCAUCCGUGAUUAGAACAAGUAUUUUCAGCAUUGAUAGACUUUAACCACCCAUGAAUGAGCCAAUCGUGUUAUCUCAGGUCUAAGGAUCACAUGCACCAUUGCAAUCAAUAAUGAAUCAUUGACAUUAAUAAGCUAAUGAUUCAUUAUUUAAUUAGUCAGUGUUCAAGCCAACUUGUCACACAAGUGCCUCUCAUAUUUAUUCUAGUAUCACAUACUUAAUGGUAUGAGACUCGCCAUUCUAUUAUCAUUAAUAUCCCAUAUUAAUCAUAGAGGAUAAAUAUGAGACUAAUCUUCCGGAUUAAACUUGCCCAAUUAAUAAUCCUAUGAUUAGGAACAAUUUAAUAUUAUUUGUACCAAGUUUUUCCGUUACUCAUAUUCUCAUCACAUGAGAAUGGAACCUUAACAAAUAAUAAGGGACAACAUUCAAUCAAAUCUAAACCAAGAAUAAUUGAAUCAAGAAGUGCCAUUUUAUUUUAAUCAAGACAAUAAUUAUUAAUGCUCUAGGGCAUACUGCUAACAGAAAUAACAAGAAGCAAGCGAAAGAAGGAAUCCUUGGGUAAGAAUUCCGAUUGAAGCAAUAAGGAAAGUGCGGCUUUUGUUCACCUAUCAUUCUCCGAUGCGACCAAGCAACUCCCUUAGAAUAUCUUCCCUUCGAACAGCGCGACCCGCCUAUUCAACUACAAUAUGAAUUCCUCUUGCCGUUGUUGCUCUUCUUGCCCCUUUAGUGGUGAUCCUUGGAUGAGGAGCAUAAACGAGCCUUAAGAGUGCAUUAGGAGGUCUUGUUGCCUGUGCUCAAGACAUAUUUUAACACAACUACAUUCCACCCAACCUGCUAUGUAUAUACACACACUAGUAAUUACUAUUUUUUCCUACAUUUAUACACUUUUCCUAAUUAAUCUCUUUGCAUUUAUAAUCUUUUCCUAAUUAAUCUUAUAUUUUUAAAAAUCUAACACGUGAAAUACAUCUUAACAAAUAUCUUAUAUAUACCCAUUAGAUAGACCAUUUUAGAAAAAUAUCUUUGUUAGAAAUAUUGGCGGGUUUCAAACUAACUAUCUAAUGUAUCCUUAAUUUAUUCUAAUUGAUCCUUCAUGAUGAUAUAUAUAAACACCCACCCACCGCCCCCCCCCCCCUUCUCCCGGGUUCCUCCUCAAAGUCAAGGCAGUUGCGAAGAAACCAUUUUGAGUUUGUCAAGAAGAUCAUUGAAACGGUUGGGAGGAAGAGGUUUGGUGAAGAUAUCUGCAAGUUGAUCCAUAGAAGAUACAGAGUGGAUGAUCUCGCCGGGGCACUUUACGGGAUAUAGCACAGCAGAUCUAGAGAAAGGUUUACUCAUCUGCAGCACCACAAUGUUUUCUUCUUGACUAUUAUCCUGACGCUGCUAUCAGAACUGGCCUCUUUCAUUAUGUGUGGGUACAAUUUUACAACAAUCCGCCUUGUCAAUGUAGUGCUGGCAAUACCAAUAACUUCUUCGACAGUUGGAAUCCAGGGGCUUCAUAUACAGGCGUUAAUACAUUAUUCCUGGGAUUACCUGCAGCCCCUGAGGCAGCACCUAGUGGCAGCUACAUCACACCUCAAGAGCUAAUUGAUCAAGUUCUACCCUUUGUCGAGAGCUAUUCCAACCACAGAGAGCUCAUGCUUUGGAGCAAAUACUUUGAAGCUAAUUGCAAUGAAAUAAUCAGGCCUUAUGUUAACUCUGAUGUCCUGGUUCAUGGCAAAAAGUCCACGAUAAAGUCCCAUGCUCUCGAAUAAUUGAGUUGCUCUCAUUAACACUUGAUGGAUGAAAUGCAGUCCUGGUUGUUUUUGCCAUAUAGAUAAAUAAUGGGUAAUAAGUUCCCCAGCUAUGGAGGCGUCAGAUACUGGGAUGUGUCUAUUACAGUCCAGCAAUCGAGCCUUAUGUUAAACCAUGAAAACUCUGACCAGUGAUAACAAGGCCAUGGGAGUCUUCUGCCACUGAAUAAGUUCCUCUGAUCACUAUUUCAUGAGAGAUGAAAUGUAAUCCUGGUUGUUUAUGCUAGAGAUAGAUGUGAUAAAUAAAUAACGGGUUAUGAUCCCCAAGUUUAAUUGCGUAUUCUCUUGAUUUAACGGUUAGAAAAUCCGCAAAAAUCACAAAUUACUGAAUACUAGUUUGGACAACCAUGCCAGUUGCACCUCCAUUUUGCAAUGUAUAUCUCUUAAAAUUGGGAAGUAAUUACAUUUUCGGUUUGCAACUCCAUUAAAAUUUGACCAAACGAACCUGUGGUUUGAUCAAAUUAUCCCCUUAUGAGUUAUGGCUUCCAAAACCAACUAACGGAAGUGGAGAAAUGUUAGAACUACCAUCUACAGAAGAUUACAUUUAUCUCCCUUGAAAUUUAUCUAAAUAAAAAAAAGGGUCAUUAAAAUGUGAACCGAAUGCAAUUUAACCCUUAAAAUAGCCAACUGUUUAUAAAAAUAAAAAUCCCUUAAUAUUAUCAAAAGAAUAAAACCCAAAUUAAGAUAAAAUUAUCAAUUACUAUCUUCCAAGAAAUGAAAAAUGAAAGGAAAAAAAUUGAGAAAAUGUCUUUCUUUCUCGUCUUUAUCUACAUAUGGCUUAUUUUAGCCACUAAAAAACACUCUCUCUCCUUUUAACAAUUAUGCAUUUCAUUUGCAUAUCCAAUUAGGAAGAUACUAAUAUUAAGUUUAAAUAAAACUCUCGUUAAGCCAGAAAACCUUCGCUUGGCCCAUUCGAUAAUAAAUUCUUGUCCUUUAUUCCAGACAAGUGCCUUUAUUAGAUUUUCACUUUUGAUUUUCAAUUUGGUGUCUUUACGAAAGAAAAAUCCUAAAUUUUCAUGCUUAGAGAUGUAUGCAAAUUUAACAGUUUAUUUUAUGUUUUAGGAAACAAAGUUUUAUUAUUUGCGCAUGGAAGUCAAAAACGAUAUUUGAUAUCAAUUAUGUAAUAGUGGUGGUCAAGGAAACUGCAUCGACUGAAACACUUUUGUUAGUGAUGCCACGUGAUUAGAGUUUCAAUUACACUAAUUUUAAGAUGAAAGAAUCAUUGGAAAAAUAUAUAGUAAUUAAUGGGUAUUUUUAUAAACUCAAAAAUUCUGAUGUGAUUAAGUAUUAGCAAAUAUUUCUUUAAUAAAUGUUUGCGAGAAUUGCAGUUUUGGUCUCUAAUGUUUGGCGUGUGUACCAAAUUAGUCCUCAAUGUUUUAGCUAAAACAAAUCUAGUCCCAAAAAUUUGUGAUUUUCGGUAGAUUUAGGACAAUAAAUGGAAAUGAAACAAUGGCUAACAGUCAAUAUCAAAUUACUGUUAGUCAACAAGUUUAACCUUUUGAUUCCCAAUGUUUUGAUUUUGAAUCAUUAUAUUUUUCUAAUUUUUUAAAUAUUGGUAUUAAGGGUUUUGGCAUGAAUUGAGAUGCAAAUUAGAAUGAAAUAGUAUUAAAUAUGUAAUAAUAAUUUUAAUUAAAAAUAUAUUACUUCUUUUUUAAUAUUUAUUUCAUUUAUUCAUGCUAAUAAUUAUAUAUAAUUGUUUCUCGCUUGAAUAAUUAAUUUAUAAUGAGUUUUAUUAUUUUUAUUUCUAAUAACAAUUAAACAACUUUAUUAAAUAUUCCUUUAAAACACAAGAAAUAUAUUUUUUGUAAAAUAAGUUGAUCUUUUUUGGCAUUUUAAUAGGUUAUCAAUUGAGUUUGAAAUAAAGUUGACAUUUUAUACACGUUAUAUGAACCACUAGAUGAUUGUCAAGAUACAUAGAUACUAAAAUAAAUGAUUUAAAACUACAAUAUUGAAAUGUUAGAUUUUAAUGGUAGUAAAGAAAAUAAAAAUAAAAGAUAAUUUUCUUAGGAUUUGCUAAAAUUAUUUAAUAUUGAUGCUUAACUUUACUAGUUUUUAUAAAUACAACGGAUAACUCUAAGAAUUUGAAGCAUACAUGCACAAGACAUGCAACAAUUUUUGUAGUAAUAACUAUAAUAAAUUUAGAUUAUAAAACUGAAAUUCUCCUUUUCUUCCUCUACUUUAUGUUUUAUUUAUUAUUGGUAUAUUAUCAUCCAAUUAAAUUUAUUUAAUAAAGAUAGGCAAUUAUCAACUUAUGCCAUUAUGAUUUGUUUCAAUUAAUAGUGAGAAAUAAUAUAUAUACAUAUAUUAUACAAGAUUUGAGACUAGAAAUGCAAAAAAAAAAAACAUAUGAGAUAUUAUUAGUAUGAAUAAAUGAAAUAAAAAUAAAAGGGAAGGAAAAAAAGUUUAAUUAGAAUUUUUGUUACCCAUUUAAUACUAUUUCAUUCUAAUUUGCAUCUCAAUUCAUACUAAAAUUCUUAAUAUCAUUAUUUAAAAAUUAGAAAAAUAUAAUCAUUCAAAGUCAAAAUACUAAGGACCAAAAGUGCAAAGUCAAAGUUGUUGACUAAUGACAAUUUGAUAUUGAUCGUUAGUCAUUGUUCUAUUUCCAUUAGUUAUGCUAAAUCUAACUAAAAUCGCACACUUUCGGGACAGAAUUUGUUUUGGCCAAAACAUGCAUUAGGGACAAAUUUGGCAUACAAGCAAAACAUUAGGGACCAAAAUUAUAAUUCUCCAUAAAUGUUUGGCUAGUAAAACAUUGGAUUGAUUUGGAAAAACUAAAGGGUUCAUUUUUGUUAUUUGGACAAACUUCAAGAGAGGCAAAUGCAAUUUGAACAAACUUUAGGAUAGGUAAGUGCAAUUAACUCAAUUUACAAAAGGUUAGUUUGGGGGCUUUUAGACAUAUAUUUUAGUGAUGCAAGCAUCAUUUCAAUCAACAAUUAGCGUGAGGGGCGCAAUUGAUAAACAUUUUGUCAGUCAGGGGAUUUGACUAUAAUCUGGUCAAACUGCAAGAUAAAUUUUGUACUUUGACACCUCGAGAAAGUAGGUGUAAUUAACCUUAAAAAAACCGAGUGUUCUUAUUGUCCGAAUAUUAUCCAAAUGAGAUAGCACUAUCUCAAGAAAAAUACAUGUAUCCAUUCUUAUACCUUCACCUAUGUAUCCACUUUUGACUUAUAAUUAAAGGUAACAUGGCUUGUUUUAACCUAUUGAUUGUACCCUCCACCUAUCUCUCUCUUUUCAUUUCUUUCUGUUUCUCUUCUUCCAACCAACCUCUCCAAUCCUUCUUUCAGCCCACCCAAGUUCUCAUGAUGAACACUCUUCCCAUGCACCAUGCCUCUACCCUAAUCCAAAUAUUUACAAGUAGUGGCAGAACCAGAAUCCUAGACUCAGCAAGGCCAAAUUAGAUUAGCAUAAAAAUUGAAGUAUUAAUAGAGUUUGAAAUCAAAAAACACUUCUAUCUUAAAAGUUCAUUUUUUCUAUGUUAAAUACACUUUUAAAAAUAAUUUGCGUUAAAUUUUGCAAUGAAAAUUACAUUUAAAUUUACAUCUAUAUUUAACUUUUGGUAGGUUUAAUACUCUUGUGAAGGAUAACAAUUAUGGAAUUUUAAUUAUUUAGGGGGCAAUGUAUGAUAGUAAAGAGAAUUCUAAAAAUUUUAGGGAGGACAAAUAAGAAACAAUUUUGAAAAUUUCUAAACAUAAAAUAUAAUUUUCUCAAAAAUUGCACCCCCUCAGCAGUAUGUGGCUUUGCCAUUGUUUAAUUACAAGCUUUCCUUCCUCCCUAUUUUCCUAUAUUGUGUUUACAUUUUUGAAGUACUUGUAUAUUUCAUAUAUAUCACAUUGCAAAAACUACAACAUUAUAAUUCUAAAAAAAUUUAAACUAUAUGUUUCCAAACGCAGCCUUGACUUUUAGUUAUUGAGUCUUAGUUUGAAUAUGAAGUCAACAGUUUCACUUUGUCUCAACGCACCUAUAGGAUUUAAGUAUAGGUUUUGAAACCGUAGGAGACUUUUGUGUCUUGUCCAUGAACAACAGGAGGAUAAAGUUAAUUCACCUCUUUUUUUUAAAAAAAAGAUAGAAGACUAUGCUAAUAUUUAUAUUUUUAUUGUGAGUCAGGGUAUUUUUCAAAGAUAAUUUUAUUUAAUUGGGUUAACAUUUCUAGGCAUUGAGAAGGGUUAAGAAAUCAUAAAAUUGUAAGUUAAUUGUAAAAAAUAAUAGUAGGAAUGAAAUGCCAAAAAUGACUAUAGUUUAGCCAAACCACAAGGUAGAUUUUGUAAUUUGACCAAACCUCGCGGGUAGAUUUUUUUUUUUUGGGAUAAAUCAGGGGUAGAUUUUAUUGUCCGACUAUUAUAAUUUAUAAUGGACCAGAGUAGAGAUUAGUUGUUACAUUUCCAACUUUUUUGCAUGGUCACACAUUUCCGACUAUUAUAACCUCAGGUGUUUUUUUUUCCUUUCUCAUUUUGGAUUAAUCUUCAAUAGAGGAAACAACUUUCUGGCUUGAUAAAUAUGUUAUGAAAAUAGAUUUUUUAAAUUAAAUAGGGACUACUUGUCCUGUAUUCAGAUAUGCCAUUGUAAUAGAACUUUGGUAUACUUAGAUAGUAUAUUAUUUAGGAUAAUUUUUUGACAAAAAUAUUGUGUUGACCUUGGUCGAUCAAUCCUUGGUUUUGAUGAUUAACAAACCAAAAUAUAGAUUUGGGCUAAUGUUUUUAUGUGAGUAAUUUGUUAGAAUAGAUUCUUGUGGCAUAAAAGAAGAAGCAAAAACAGGGCACUCAUGUCGGACGCUAUCGGAUGUCCGAAAGGAUGAAGAACAUCAAGAAGGAAACUCUGUCGGACGCUCAUGAGGAAGCAUGGGACGUCCGGAAGGAUCGGACGCACGCCUCGGACGCACAUCGAUCGCAUCGGACGUCCGAGAAAUUUCGCAAAGAUUUGAUGACUCUCUGACGACGUUCGGACGCAGGGUUCGGACGUCCGACAGGUGGUUUGGACGCAGGGUUCGGACGUUCGACAGGUGGUUCGGACGUCCGACAGACCAACGGCUAGUUUUGACAGCAUUUAAUAUUUGACCGUUGGAGAGCCUUUUGGAGUCAUUUCUCACCUUCUAUAAAAACCCCAAAGCACAAGAAGACAAGAGACUUUUGCCAACACAAAAUACAAGCUUACAAGUGAGAUUUUUGAGUAGAAAGAUUCUUUGUUGGUUGUAUAAGGUUGGGAAAGUUGGGUUGUGAGGUUGCUCAAGUGAAGGUUACUCUCUAGGAGGAGUAAAACCUUGGUGAAGAUAAACCUAUCACUUGGAGUGGUAAAACCUUGGUGAAGGUUGCCUCAUGUGUAUAAAAUAGUUCUUAAUUGGGUGAGUGAUCUUUCAAGUGUAGGUUGUUGAGGGUUAACUAGUAUAGUUGUAAAACUCCUUGGCUCAACCAAAGAGUGUUUGGGGUGAGGAAGGAGUGAGCCUUCACUUGUACAUCUUGGUUAGCAUCGCCAUCUAUUGAAGAGGCUAUUGGAUUGAUAUUUGGUUUGCAUUUUUUAUCUUUUCUCUUUAAUUAAGUUUUCUUUAUUGUGCUUAAAUUUGAUAUAUCUUUGUGUAUCAUUGUGAAUUUGUUUGUACUCAUUGGGUUGCACCGGGCACUUACAUAUUGUGAUAAUUUUUUGACAAAAAUAUUGUAAAAAGAUGAUUGAAAAAUGAUAAUUUUUUUGAUAUGAUAUAUGUCAGAUAAAAAGAUGAUUGAAAAAUUUGUUGAUGAUACAAACAAAUACAAUUUGACAAAUAAUCUACUAUCCAAACAAAGACUAGAUUUUCUAUGUGCAAAUAUGCUAGGGUAACCGAUUCACAACGCAUUUGAUAAAGCGGUUAUUGAGCACAUUUUGCACUAUUAUUCUGCCCUAAUUUUGGCUACUCAUGGUGCUAAGAAUUGGGAAUUUGCUCAUAUUUGAUAUUUGUGUAAAUUGUAGGUGGUUGCUGUUAAAAGUAAUCUUUUGAGGCAAUUUCCAGAAGACCCUUUAUUUUAGGACGUGCCCACGCCAGAAAUUAUAGAGGGCUACCCAAAAACCGGACCCGCGAGCUUGGUAACAGUAGGAUAACCAAUUAAGGAACUAGGUCCGCGUGGACCAGAUGCGUGGGAUUAGAACCCUUAGACAAAGCUUGCUCCUGAUUUGACUCCUACGGGCGGCGCUACAAAUAAGAAAACAAGCUAGAUUCGCGGGGAAUCAUCUACCUUAGCUUUAAUUUUCCUUUUUUCACAUCUGUCAGACAUCAAAGAAUUUUUCCUUGUUUUUUUUGGCUUUUACGUUUUGACUCUUUUGCUUUUGCUUUGGAUCUGUACAAUUUUCAUUGGCUUUGGCAUUGAACUUUCGGAUCCAGUACGGACUCCAAUGCAGAGACAAGCAAGACUUUUCACUUUUUCUUUCUUUGUUAUUUCAUCGGUCCAGAUUCUUUGAUGUUUGUGUGGAUGAAAUCAAUUAAAUUGCGCGAGAUUGAUAUGACGAGGAGCGGCUAAAUUCCCCUUCUACCCAAGGGUUAACGCGAAGGCGCGGUCCAUAACAUCUGUGAGAUCUAAUCGAAUUUUCACUAUUUCGUCCAAUUCGUUACUAUUUAUGUGUUUCCUGAAUUAAUUGUUCAUGGGUAUUUUAUUAAUUGGGUAUCAGCGGCCGGAUAUUUAAUUUAAUAUAAUAGCCUAUUGGUACAUUAAUUAAAUUGAAUCCGUAAUUGUUCGUUUAGUUGACAAAUAGUGACAACCACCAUAAUUGGUUUUAUGUUGGAGAAACACAAGAUCUAAUUUAAAUAAACUCUCUUAGCGUGUUUAUUGGUUAGGGUUGGGUUUUUCUAGUUUUAAUGCAACUGGAUAACUAAAUUCCUACGGUCGUACCUAGGGUUGUUUUCUGGUUAGAGAAGCAGUCAAUGAUCGUAGUUUGACUGUCGAAAAAGUAAGGAAGAACUGGUUGUCAGAUCUUAUUGAUAACUAUAACCAACCUAGUGACGGAUGGAUGAAAUAUCUUUGCAUCGAUGAUCAUUUAAUUGGACCGUGCCUGAAAACUUGAUUCUUUGGGUAGAAUUUUAUUAAUUGCUAUUUUUAGUAAAUUGUACUUGUGGAGUUAUCUUUUGAAUUUUAUUUAUUUUAUUUUCGUUUCCAUCCCAUUAAUUAUCCCCUAAUUUUAUUCUAUUGAUUUAAAAAGAAACAACUUCCUACCCGUUCCCUGUGGAAUCGACCCUACUUGCCAUUGUACGCAAAAUUAAUAUUUUUAUAGACAAUUCAGGUAUAUCGGACCAAGCAAACUCUUCGGGAAUAGGGUAAAUCAAGUAAUCCAUUACACAUUUAGGGUCCCUACUCUAGUAUUUGGAUUUGUUCUAUAAUUAAUUGUGAUGGUAAUUAGGACUUUUUAGUAAUUAUUAUUGCACAGGUUCGGUAUCUGUCAAUUUUUGGCGCCGUUGCCGAGGAACGGUAUUUUGAUUAAUUUUGUUUCUUUCUAAGUUAUUUUCUUUGGAUUUGUCUGACAUUUUUCUAGUUUAUGCCUCGUUCUUCUCAUACAGGAGAAUUGAUUUUCGAUCCGGAAGUAGAGAAGACUUCGUGUCAAACUAGAAAAUAGACUAGGCAACUCAGAGAGGAGCAAUCGAGCACUGCAUCUCAGGAACUGGAUCCUGAGAUUGAAUCAGCAGAUUCGAGUGGUGAAAAUUCAAGUGACCCAGGCCAAGAAGACAUCCCUAUGGCGAAUGCAAGAACACUAAGGGAGUUGGCUGCUCCGGAAUUGCCCCAGCAGCCGCUGUGCAUCACAUUUCCAACUCUAGCUGAAAAUGCCUCAUUCGAACUAAAGUCGGAGUUGAUUCACCUUUUGCCCACAUUCCAUGGCCUUUCGGGGGAGGAACCCCAUAAACACAUUCAAAAGUUCAAUGUGGUAUGCUCCAGUAUAAAGUCUCCAGAAAUUACUGAGGAGCAGAUCAAACUUAGAGCCUUCCCAUUCUCCCUCAAGGAUGCAACAAAGGAUUGGUUGUACUACUUACCUGCAGGCAGUGUUACAACAUGGACCCAACUGAAAAAGAAAUUUUUGAAAAAAUUCUUCCCUACAUCCCGGGCUGCAAGUCUGAGAAAGGAGAUUUGUAGCAUUAAACAGUACCCUGGAGAAUCCCUAUAUGACUAUUGGGAGAGGUUCAAUAAGUUGUGCACUAAAUGCCCACAACAUCAAAUUAGUGAACAACUAUUGAUCUAAUAUUUCUAUAAGAGGCUCCAGUCAUCCGACAGGAGUAUCAUUGAUCCUGCGAGCGGGGGAGCAUUGGCAAAUAAGACCCCGAGGGAAGCAUGGUUGCUCAUUGAAACUAUGACAAAAAAUUCACAACAGUUUGGCUUCCGCGAGAGUAACCCUACCCGUAGGGUUAACAAGAUAGAGACAUUAUCCAUUCAGCAGCAGCUAUCAGAGCUAACAUCUUUCGUUCGCCAAUUAGCUGUGGGAAACGGGCACCAAGCAAAGGCCUGUGGAAUCUGCACAAAUGUGGGUCACCCCACUGACUCAUGCCCUAUGUUGCAAGAGGAUGGGGCUAAACAUAUGAACAUGACUGGAGGCGUGCCCGCGCCUCGUAGGCAGUACGACCCACACUCGAACACGUACAAUCCGAGUUGGAAAGAUCACCCCAAUUUCAGCUAUGAUAAUAGGCCACAGAAUUCAUUCUCCAAUCGUCCACCAGGAUUUCGGCAACCAUGGCAACCAAAGCCACAACCUUUAUCAUCUAACUCAGGAAGUUCCUUGGAGGAAAUUGUCAAGAGUUUGGUCACGACUACCACUCAGCUCCAACAGGAGACUAGGGCCCUGGUCGCGAACAAUACUCAGUUCCAGUAGGACACCAGAGCAAGCAUGAAAAACAUGGAGACUCGAAUGAAUCAAAUGGCAACCGUCAUUAAUCGCUUGGAGUCCCACGUUUAUGGAAAACUACCAUUACAAUCCAAGAUAAAUCCCAAGAAUGUAAGUGCCAUGACACUAAAGAGUGGCAAAGAGGUGGAGGGACCUAAGUUGGUAAAUUCGAAAAGCAAAAAGUGAGGAGGAGAUAGAAGAGGGAGUUGAAGAGGAACGGCACAUUCGCGAAGAGUCUAAGGUAACAUCUAUUCCUUUGAUGCCUAUUAAAUCUAAUCUAGCUCCUUUUGCUUGCAGGUUGGAAAAGACAAAUAGGGCAGAAAAGGAAAAAGAAAUCCUGGAUGUGUUCCGCAAAAUUCAAGUAAACAUCCCCCUAUUGGAUGCGAUCAAACAGGUAUCCAAGUAUGCAAAGUUCUUGAAAAACUUGUACGUUAACAAAAGAAAGCUAAGGGAUGAUGAGAGAGUGAUGGUAGGAGAGAAUGUAUCAGCUGUACUUCAAAGGAAACUCCCACCCAAAUGCGAGGAUCCAAGCAUGUUUACUAUCUCCUGUAAGAUUGGAUGUUCUAAUAUCGAAAAUACCAUGCUAGUUUAGGAGCCUCUAUUAAUGUGAUGUCUAAAUCAAUCUAUGAUUCCCUAAAUUUAGGACCUUUAAAAGAAACAAGAAUAAUAAUUCAAUUGGCUGAUCGUACAUUUGCUUAUCCGGAUAGAAUAGUUGAGAAUGUUUUAGUGCAAGUAGAUGGAUUAAUUUUUCCUGCUAAUUUUUAUGUGCUUUACAUGGAUGAUAGAAGUGUCCCAAAUCCAUCACCCAUUAUAUUAGGAAGGCCAUUCUUGAGUACUGCCCAAACUAAGAUUGAUGUUAGUAAGGGUACUUUCACAAUGAAAUUUGAUGGAGAAACAGUCCAUUUUAAUAUUUUUGAUACAGUGAAACAUCCUGUUAACUCUUAUUCUGUGUUUGUUAUUCAUGCUACUGAUCCAUCUGUGCAAAAAUUUUCUGAGUUUGCUUGUAGAAGUAAAUUCAAAGUUGCUGCAAACAAGUAUCAUGGAAUGAAAGCAAUUCAUGAGGUGAAAAUGGGUAGAAAAUUAAGAAAAAAUGUUGCAUUCAAUGGCUAUUUGGAUCCCGGAGGAGGGCCACUGAUUACAAGAAAAAUUGAAUUACAUCCAAACUGAAGAGCGGUGUAUAGUGUCUAGCCAAAGACAUUAAAGAAAGACACUACUUGGAAAGCAAUCCAAGGAUUUCAAUUGUGUUCUAUUUCAUAUUUGUGUGCUCAAGACCAGUGGGUUUAGAUUCCUAUUGACAAUAUUUAUUAUAGGUCAUGGGUGUUUCUGUGUAGUUUUAUUCUAGGUUGGACGCAAAAAAAAAAAAUUUUGUGGGCAGAAGACUUCAUGUUACAAGGCGUGCCCGGGCCUUGUACUCACCGCACAUGAAUAUUUGUAAAAUUUGGUGAACAGAAGACCUCGACCUCCAAGGCAUGCCCACGCCUUCCAACCUUUGCAACAAUGAAAGUAAAAAAAAAUUGACCAGGACCUUCUCUAACCCCACUUUUCUACUUUUCUUUUUUCUUGUCUUGUCUGGUCUUUUUAAUUUCCUCUGUCUUAGUUUCUACUUUUCAAUUUCCUUUGUUUUGUCUUAGUUUCAGUUUCUUCGUUUCCUCUUUUCUUGUUAGUCUGCCGCGCACAGCGCGUCGCCGUGGCGUGCUCCUCUUACCAUACUCCUCCUACUGGGGAUUCCCAAUACUGUGCCCUCCAAGAUUCUAUCCAUGAACUAGGUGAGCAGGUUGAGGGACUAGAUGGCCGUCUUGCAGCGCUGCAGGUUUUUGCUCGCAUUCAGGUGGAGAACUAGGCAGCUUUCUUUACGCAUAUUGGAUUCACUCCACCUCAUCCUCCUCCCCCUUAGUGUCUAGCUGCAGCCUCUCGGUAGUCAAGGAAGUUUCUCUCCUUUUCUCCUAAUAUUUCAUUUGUCUUUUCUACAUUGAGAACAAUGUAGGUUUUAGGUGUGGGGGAGUAGUUCCCAUUAUUUCUUUUGGUUUCCAUUAUUUCUUUUGGCUUUGGUACAAAAAAAAACAAAAAAUGGAAAACAAAAAAAUGAAAAAAUGAUGAAAACAAUGUAGUUAGUCGGCUUUCUGUUCAUUUCUAUGUUUGUUAGUACUGGAGCAUAUUGCUAUGACGAAUUAUACAAUCAUGGUGCACAGGUAUGUGGUCAAAUAUGCUAGUUGGGCAUUUUGUUUUUGCUUUGCAAUAUCAUUGAAUGUUGAAUAUGCUGGACUUGAUCCAUUCUUAAAACUUUUGGGAGCUUUUGAGCCAUACAUGAGCACAUUAUUCUUGUUUGUUCUAUUUUUGUUUGAUUGAGUGGGUAUCACACAUGGUAUUGGUAUUCUAGAACUUGCUAUUUUGUACAUGUCGAGAUCACAUUUUGUUGAAGUGGAUGCAUUUGAAAUAAUAAGGGCAUUUAGGAUUUGACCUUCUUUAGCUUUCUAAAAACCAUGCAUUCAUCUUAUCUCCCGAUAGUGAAUCAAUUUGAAUUUUUAUCCUUCGCUUUUGUUUGUUAGUCGUGUUUGAUAACCCAUGACCUUUUUAUACUUUCUUGUUCAACCUUGUGUCAUUAAGAGAUGUCUGAAAUUCGGCAAAUAAAUCUAGGGUCGCAAGUGUUGUCAAAAUAGAUGCUGUAUGAUGUUGUUUCUGUACAUCUGAGAUCGAAAAAAAAGAAAAAAAGAAAAAAAAAGGAAAAAAAGGGGAAGAAAUUGUCAAUAAGAUGGUGAAACAGACGACUCUGUCUUACAGGGCGUGCCCACGCCUUGCAAUUACUUAACUCAACCAAAAAAAUAAAAAAAAUUUUGGCGACACUUGCACAGUGGGUGUAGCAAAUGAAACUGCCUUAUUUGUGAAACUCCUCCGGUGAAGCAUUGUGGUUAUAUGGUGGGUUUCUGAUAUUCGAGGCACAUACCGGUUGAAUGAUCCCUGGCAUAACAAAUUCCACAAGUUGCAGCAGCCAUUCUUUCAAUAAGAGAGUUUAGUGCCUCUGAAUAUGCAAACUUAGAAAAAAAACAAGCCUCAUUGUCUUCCCUGGAAACAAAAUCCAGUCUAUCACCAAAAUCCGGAGUGUUAGAAGCCAUAAACUAUAUAAAAAAAAUAAGAGAAAAAUAAACAAAAAAAAAAUGAAAACAAGAUGAACUCAAAAAGAAACAAAUUAAUCUGACACCAGUCCCCGACAACGGCGCCAAAAAUUGACAGGGUGUCGAACCUGUGCAAUAAUAAAUACCUGCUUAAAUAAAAUAUAAUUUCUGUAGAUAGUGAUAAGCAGGGUCGAAUCCACAGGAAUUGGGGAUAAUUUAUUUCUUUAGAGUCCGAAGUAUGGGGGAUUUUUGAAAAUGAGAGUAACUAAACUACUUGGAAUAAAUUAAAAUAAAAUAAAACAACUACAACUCAAAUAACUAAUUAUCACAAUAAAAAUAAUAAUGGACGAACUCUAACCAAGAGACAACUUCGGAGAUGGUUCACUUAAUUCGAUCACAGAUGCAAGGAUUAUUCCAGUUACUAUCUGAUAAAUUAGUUAUAGUUGUCAUACACGCGAUAAACAACCAACUCUUCCUCAAUUUGUCGAAAGCCAAGGUACGACCGUUGACUAUUUCUCUAAUCAGGAAAUAACCUUAGGUACGACCAUAGAAGUUCAAUUCCCUAAUUGCAUGAAUAAUUAGAAGAGCCUAAUUCUAACCAAUCAACACGCUACGAGGGUCUCUUUAAGUUAACCUGUCUAUCUCCCUGACACAAACCCAAUCAUGCCAGUUGCCACCAGUUUAGAAUAAUUAAACAAUUACGGAUUUAACUACCCUAAUUGGUUUCAGGUUAUUGAAUUAAUCUAGAAUCCGGGCCCUGGAUAAUCGAAUAAUAAAACAACCAUAUGAACAUAAAGCAGAAGAUAGACGAAUACCAGUGAAUAAUGAAAAUAAAUAAAAACUAAUUCGAUCUCACAAAUUUAGUAGAACCAAGUCCUCCGUUGUUCCUCGACUAUAUGAGAAACUUAGCCACGCCUCAUGAGAAAAUCUCCAAGUGAUUUUACUGAGGUCCAAGCCAUCAAAGGAACUAAGAAAGAAUAAAACUAAACUAUGCUAAAAACUAAGCUAAAACUAUUGAUAAGAGCUUCUGUGUAUGUUUGUUUCUCUUUUUAAAGCCAAAUGACUAAUACCUUCCCUCUUUUCUGUGGUCCCCGCACGAAUUGAGAGUCCAAUUCCAUCUCACAAGCCUUUGUACGUUUCUUUUCCAAGAGCCCAAAUGACUCAUGCUUCUUAUCUCCGUGGUCCCACGAGAUUCCCCAAUCAAAGUCCAAAAGGUAAGGCCUCUUAAUGUUUCCUCUUUUCUCGUUUCUCAUUGCUCCUAGGACUCCUAGGAUUCAAGACACUCCUCAUCAGCAAAGGAAAUGCAGUCCGCAUCUAUCACAAUGUGGGCCAGGUCUGUGGCUUAGUUGAAGUCUCAAUUGUUUCCAGAAAGUCCCUCUUUUUUUGUAAUUUUCUGCUUCACUCCCUGAAAUUGGGUCCAAUACCAAAUAUAAGUAAAUAUUAAUAAUUAAAAUAAUAUUUGGCAAGGAUAAAAGGGAAAUUAAUAAUAAAAUAACCAAUAAUUAACACCCUAUCAGUUUCGGACAUUCUCUUGACAUAUUACCCCCUAUCUAUACCUUUCUAUCCCAUUUUUUACCUAAGCCCCAUUACAACCCUAUCAAAAUUCCUUUGAUUUGUGUAUUUAGUUCAUUUUUGAGUGGUGGAGAUGUGAUAAAUGUGCAAACUUAUGGUAAUGUCAUUCCGUGAUGUUGAUUUGAGCGUUCCUAGUAUUCAUACAUUUUUUUUGAAUUACCACCUGUCCGGUGUGUUCUAAUUUUGGCAAUAUUGUCAGGAAUGCGGGAUGUUUGAGGUAGUAUAGAUGACUAAGAAACCGUUGCUAUCUUGAUUGUGCUUCUGAGCUCCAAAAUGCUUGAGGGCAAGCAUUGUCUAGAUGUGGGGAGAUUUGAUAGAACGGUUAUUGAACACAUUUUGCACUAUUAUUCUGCCCUAAUUUUGGCUACUCAUGGUGCUAAGAAUUGGGAAUUUGCUCAUAUUUGAUAUUUGUGUAAAUUGUAGGUGGUUGGUGUUAAAAGUAAUCUUUUCAGGCAAAUUUUCAGAAGACCCUUUAUUUCAGAACGUGCCCACGCCAGAAAUUAUGGAGGGUUACCCAAAAAUCGGACCCGCGAGCUUGGUAACAGCGGGAAAACCAAUUAAGGAACCAGGUGCGUGGGAUUAGAACCCUUAGACAAAGCUUGCUCCUGAUUUGACUCCUACAAGUGGCGCUACAAAUAAGAAAACAAGCCAGAUUCACGGGGAAUCAUCUACCUUAGCUUUAGUUUUCCUUUUUUCACAUCUGUCAGACAUCAAAGACUUUUUCCUUGUUUUCUUUGGCUUUUACGUUUUGACUCUUUUGCUUUUGCUUUGGAUCUGUACAAUUUUCGUUGGCUUUGGCAUUGAACUUUCGGAUCCAGUACGGAUUCCAACGCAGAGACAAGCAAGACUUUUCACUUUUUCUUUCUUUGUUACUUCAUCGGUCCACAUUCUUUGAUGUUUGUGUGGAUGAAAUCAAUUAAAUCACGCGAGACUGAUAUGACGAGGAGCGGCUAAAUUUCCCUUCUACCUAAGGGUUAACGCAAAGGCGCGGUCCAUAACAUCUGUGAGAUCUAAUCGAAUUUUCACUAUUUCAUCCAAUUCGUUAUUAUUCAUGUGUUUCCUGGAUUAAUUGUUCGUGGGUAUUUUAUUAAUUGGGUACCAACGGUCGGAUAUUUAAUUUAAUCUAAUAGCCUACUGCCAUAUUAAUUAAAUUGAAUCCGUAAUUGUUCGUUUAGUUGACAACUAGUGGCAACCACCAUAAUUGGUUUUAUGUUGGGAAAACGCAAGAUCUAAUUUAAAUAAACCAUCUCAGCGUGUUUAUUGGUUAGGGUUGGAUUUUUCUAGUUUUAAUGCAACUGGAUAACUAAAUUUUUAUGGUCGUACGUAGGAUUGUUUUCUGGUUAGAGAAUCAGUCAAUGGUCGUACCUUGACUGUCGAAAAAGUAAGGAAGAAUUAGUUGUUAAAACUUAUUGAUAACUAUAACCAACCUAGUGACGGAUGGAUGAAAUAUCUUUGCAUCGAUGAUCAUUUAAUUGGACCGUGCCUGAAAAGUUGAUCCAUUAGGUAGAAUUUUAUUAAUUGCUAUUUUUAGUAAAUUAUACUUGUGGAGUUAUCUUAUGAAUUUUAUUUAUUUUAUUUUUGUUUCCAUCCCAUUAAUCAUCUCCCAAUUUUAUUCUAUUGACUUAGAAAGAAACAACUUCCUACCCGUUCCCUGUGGAAUCGACCCUACUUGCCAUUAUACGCAAAAUUAAUAUUUUUAUAGACAAUUCAGGUAUAUCGAACCAAGCAAACUCUUCGGGAACAGGGUGAAUCAAGUAACCCAUUGCAUACCUAGGGUCCCUGCUCUAGUACUUGGAUUUGUUUUAUAAUUAAAUAGGGACUACUUGUCCUGUAUUCAGAUAUGCCAUUGUAAUAGAACUUUAGUAUACUUAGAUAGUAUAUUAUUUAGGAUAAUUUUUUGACAAAAAUAUUGUAACAUUUUUUUUGAUAUGAUAUAUGUCAGAUAAAAAGAUGAUUGAAAAAUUUGUUGAUGAUACAAACAAAUAAAAUUUGACAAAUAAUCUACUAUCCAAACAAAGACUAGAUUUUCUAUGUGCAAAUAUGCUAGGGUAACCGAUUCACAACACAUUGUAUGAAACUUUAUUCCCCAUGGUGUUGCAUGUUAUUCGUGUUUGUUUUGGUGAUAAUUAAGCCCCAGUGAGGCCAUAAUUGAGUAGAACUUGAAGUAGAAUUUUAUUUAUUUAUUUUUGGAUAAGAUUUUAAGGGACCCAAAUGAUACAAUUUGAAGUAGUAUAUUGAAAAUUCAAGAAUUUGAUAUCUUGGUAUUUCUAGAAUUUAAAAGUUGGAUUUUAACCAAAAAAAAAAAAAAGAAUUCAAAAAGUUGGAUAUUGUGAGAAAAAUCAAGUGGGUCCAAGUUUGUUAUGUCUAUCCUACAAUAGUACAAUGAGUGGACAAUAAUAAAUAUGGGAAAAAUACACUUUUUAUCCCUAAUGUUUAAGGUGUUAACCAAUUUCGUCCCUAAAGUUUCAUGUAAAACAUAUUUCAUCCUUGUAAUUUGAUAAUUUUAACUAAUUUCUUUCUUAAAGUUUCACACGAACACAUUUCAUCCUCAUAGUUUAAUAUAUUUGGCUAAUUGAGGACAAUUAGUGGAUUGUCAAUGAUUUUAAAUAGAAUAUUGUCACUUGACCACAACAUGCCCAUUAGUAAAAAAAAAAAAAACAUUGGAUCAACAAAAAGGUUAAAAAUCUUUUCUUAAUCCACUUUCUCAUUUUGGUACCAAAAAAAAAACUUAAGAAAUUUUUAGCCACCAUUACUGUCUUCUUAAUCACAAUCGAACAAGAAGAUAUAUCUAAAGAAAAUGAAGUCAUGGAAAACAAACAACCCCACUAUAGCCAAUUGGAAAAAAAUGUCAAACAACUCCAUUACAACUAAUUGGAGAAAAAUAUUAAUGUGAAAGAAAGAAUGGUUUGAAUUGUCAUUUAUUUGCAAAAUUUUGUUUUGCUGCUGUGUAUUUUGCACCAACAGUUGUAUCAUGUAUACGUUUUUCAAUCAUCUAUUCAUCUUUCAAUCUAUUUGUUUUAUCUCAAAUGCAUUAUAUCAUAAUUUUAAAAAACAAAGAGAUAGUCUCAUAUCCAAAAACACUUGUUAAUUUUGUAAUUUAAUCAAUAACUGAAUUAAGUAUUAAUAAUACAAUUACUAAUGGGACAUGUGAUGAUAUUAUGUCCAAAUUGGUUAACAAUCAUUUAAUUGUCCUCAAUUGAUAGAAAUUAUGAAACUAUCGGGAUGAAAUGUGUUCUACAUAAAUUUCAGGGACAAUUGGUCUAAAUUAUAAAACUAUGAGGAUAAAAUAUGUUUAGAAUGAAACUUUAGGAACGAAAUUAGUUAACACAUUAAACAAUGGGGAUGAAAAGUGCAUUUUUCCUAAUAAAUAUUUUUGUUUGUUCCUUCUUCUGUCGUUCGUACUAAAACAGUCAACGGGAAUGACGCCGCUCCGAUGUUCACAAAAUAAUUGGUUGGAUUCCAAACUAGGCAUUAAAAUAAGGAAACAAGUCUAUGACUCUCAAUUUGAAGCUGUGCUAUCAUAAAUUGUUUAAGAAUACCGCUAAUGGAACACUUAUUGAGUGUGCAAUGCAAUCAAAUUUUAAUUUUUUGCAAAGUCUAAGUUUUGAAAAUUAAAUACUGGUAAAAACUAUAAUUCGUGGAAAGGUUUUAUAUUUAUUUGACAAAAUAUUUAAUUCACUUCAUAGAGGUAAGAUAUGAAUUUUUAUUCAAUGUGUAAUUGGUUUCUUUUGAAAUAAAAGGUAGUAGUUAUAUUGAGUUUAAUAUAUAUUGUGAGUAGUUGAUGUCUAAAAGUUGCAAAUUGUUUUAGGUAUAUGAAAAAAAGAGAGAUUAUAUUAGGUGUAAAAGCCAACAUAGGUGUUUUAGAGCAUUAAAGCAAGAGAAUAUUGAAAGCUUGGUUUAGGAAAUACUAUGAUAGUUUGAUCUAUUGCAUAUAAGAACGAGAAAAUAACUGUGACCACUUCCUUAUCUUACCAAAGUACAAUUAUAUUUUGUUAAAAAAAAAAUCUCCAGCAAAGGAAGGGUGAGAUUGAUUUAAGAAGCAGGGAGGAAAAAAAGAAUUUGAACUCAGAAAUUUUCACCAAAGAUGCCUUGUUCUAGUAGUUAAAGUUGAAAUUCCAAAAAUUAGAGUAUUGAGUUCAAAUCCCUCUGCUUCCUUCCCACUUUUUAAGUUCCAUGUCUCUCCUUUUUGAAAAAAAAAAAAGAAAUAGUAAAGUACACUCAUGUUAUAGUACAUCACUAUUUGGUACUUUAUAUAUCCCUAUAACAUAUAAGAAGACGUUUUGUGGGUUACUGUUCAUUGCAUUUCAUCUGCCUCCUUGGGGGUUUUUUUGUCAUUCCAGCCUCUUGCUUAUUCUUUUUCUUGGAGCUGGUACAACUGGUUGCUGCUUUGGAGAAUAUGUCUUUUCUAUCCUUAUUACAAGCCUUAGCCGGAUGUUAGUGGAAUGUUGGCUGUUUUGCAACAUUAAUGAGAUUUGAUGCUCAUUUCUAUCAGCCAACUCAUUUGCCUUGUUUAAUUACAUUUUUCUCCUUCCAAAUGCUCAUUGAAUAGACUGAGCAUUUUGAAUUCAUGUGUAACAGAGUCAUUUCACAAUAGCCUUCUACUUUUGCUAUUGAAAAUUAGAAAAUUGAGUCUUCUCUUCUCCGUGUUCUCCUGCUACAUGCAUUCAUUAUCCACAACUCUUUGUCUAUAUCCACAACUCUCCGUUCUAUCCUACUGCCUUUGUUAUUGCAUUGAAAAAUCCCAUAUCUAGGUUCUAUUUCCUUUCUGCUAAAUCUUUGUUUUCUACCUUAUUCAUGAUAUGAACUGUAAACCAUAUUUACUAUUAUUGUCAUGCUUGGUGUUAGCUUUGCAUAUUCAGUGUACAAUGGCUUCAACUGAUGCACUUGCACAUUCAACGGAUAAGAAGAUUCAUUGCAACAGAAGAUUAAGAGAAAAAUAUGCUUCCUUAUCAGUGGAAGAAAAAGAAGCUUGUCGAGCUAAAUAGAAGGAAGCUUAUCUAAAGAGGAGAGCAAGGAAAGCUGCUGCAUCGACGUCUUCUAUGAACUGACAACAAACUAACAGUAUCUUAUUCAGUUUUGCUAGAAAUGAAAGCUGUGGUAUAAAUGUUUGGUGCUUCGCGUUUAUAUUGGUUUCUUUAGAUUUCUACUUAACUAGUUUAAUGGUUGAUUAAACUUCUUUAUGUGUAAAUUGACAGCAAACUUCUGUAAUAAAUAUAUACACAUGGAGAAGAGCUGUUGAGUUUGCCUGUAUCUGAAGUUUUUGAGUUUUCUGCUUCGCUGCCUUAAUAUUGGAUUAAAAAGAAAUCUUUAUGUUUGAAUUAAAAAAAAAUCUAUAAGAGAUGCAUGCGAAUGGAGAACAGCUUCUAGUUACUGUGAAAAGCUGUGCCAAUAUUUAAAUUAAAAUUGUAAUUUGCAUUAUGCUAAACAUGAUGUAAAUUAUCAAAACCUUUUAAUUCAGGUGCACAACUUCUAGUUUCGUGUGACCUAUGACAAAAUAAUGACCACAAUAACCAACAGGCUAUUGCUAUUAAACCACUUCCACAACAGAGUAGAGACAAAGAGGCUAAUUUGCAACAAUCUAUUGCUAUCAAAUUGGUUGUGCAACAACAUAACAAAAGUAAUUCUCUGUGCAAAUGCAAUGCUGAAUUAGAAGGCAAGUUGAAGAGGCAUGUUUUCUUGACAUUUGAACAUGGUAUGCUUGCACAAGUUCAUUACUCUUUAAAUUUUCUACGCCAAGUUGUUCCCUUUUUUUUUUUUUGCUCUUCUAUGUUUAUACAUGCAUUUUUUGAUCUUAUGUUCAUAUAGGUUCUUCGUUAAAAAGACAUUAAUUUAUAAAUGUAAAAGAAUCAGUAGACUAAACGUUUCAAGUAUAUCUUGUUAUAAUCAUAUUUAUCAAUGUACGCUUCAUAUAAUAAUUUCUAUGCUUGCAACUAGUAGGUGAUCCUCCUAUAUGUGAUAGCUGCUAUAAAUUCUUGCAUGAAACAGUUGAUGAUCUUGCAGGUUGAAAUCCUUAAUCCUAUUUUUAUAAAUAUUUGCUCAAUGUCGUUUGGUUGCUAAACUUGAUUUAGGCUCUUACAGUUUCUUAUUUGCCUAAUCAGGUAUAUCUAUGACAAUAUGCCCUCAACCAGUGGAAGCCAAUGUUUCUCAUGCCAUGAAAAAUUGUCCAAAAGGUAUGCAUAUCUAAAAUGUAUCUGGAAAUGUUGUAGAAUCUAUAUGUAUGUAUAUCAGCAGCAUGAUUUUUUUACCUCGUAACUAACCAGAUUAUUGAACUACCAACUAGAGUAAGUAAGCGCAAGUAGAUUCAUUGCUCACUCGAACCCAUUCCUCUUGCUCUACCUAUUGAGUGCACAGAUGACUCGCGAAAAAAACUAUAGAGAGCGACCGAAGCUCGUCAAGCCCCGAUCCUUCUUCAGCCAUAAGAAAGCCAAGACCAGACUUGGGGAGAACUACUCUGUCCACACCUGUCCCAUUCCUUCUCUCUUCAGUAAGCGAAUCAGCCAGUAAACUUGAAUCUGUGGGUAGCACAAAAAGAGUAGCUUGGUUCCGUUUCGGUUUAUACACCAGGGCCAAAACCUUACCAUGCCAACACUCUUCCGGUUCGAUAAGACCAGCUCUUUCUAUAGCUGCAUUUCAUCUUCCCCUCAAUUGCUCUGUAGGCAAAAGCUCAAGCCAAAGGAGAUCAAACAUCCAAGCAAAGAAGGCUUGCAUGCAAAACAAGGGUAUCAUUGCUGUUUCUUUAUCUUACAUCUAUACAUAUUCAAAUAUUUAUACCUCUUUCAUAUGCACAUAAAAUAGUCAUAAAAAUGCUUUGUGUCCUAUUAUUCUACAACAUCUAAAAAUAUAGCUGGUGUAGAUGUUCUGAAUUUCAUUAACCAUAGUGCAAACCGCCUCCCUGAUGCAUUAGAUUGUAAAUAUUGUGGAUCAAAAAAAUUCUACUCAGAGACAGCAAACUUUUGCUAUUUUGAUGGCAAAGUUCUGCUCCAUGAAAAUAAGCUACCUAACAUCUUAAUUGAACUUUUUAGUGGUCAGAGCGGAGAAGCUAUACAAUUUCGAACCUAUGUCAGGACCUAUAAUAGCAUGUUUGCAUUUACUUCAUUUGGUGUUCACUAUGAAAAAUCCCUCUGCAAGAGAACAAAUGAAAUCUAUAUAUUCAAGAUACAAGGCCAAACCUAUCAUUUCAUCAAUGAACUAAUAAGGCAUGGAGGAUUAGGAAUGUAUCUUCAGCUUUAUUUUCAUGACACAGAACAUAAAAUUCAGAAUCGAUUAGCAAUAUCAAAAAAGCUGACUGAAAGUAUUGUAGUCAAACUAAUGGAAGUAAUGAAAGAAAAUCCAUAUGCUUGCUUCUUCAGGAGUUUGAGAAAUCUCCCAAACUUCGACUCAUAUCAUAUAGUUUUAAAAUCUCACUCCGACAAUGACCAGCAAGUGUUUAAUAAACCUGCUGUAUCUCAAGUUGCAGCUUUAUGGGUUAAAUGAGAAAACGCUAAUCAAGGCUAUUCUAGACACAUACAAAUAUAUACUAAAGAAGGACAUAGCCACCGCAUUCAAUAUUACUACGGCUACUGUGACCCUCUUCAGUAUUCACUACUUUUUUCAUUCGGAGAAACUAGAUGGCAUCCAGGUAUACAACAAUUAGGGAUAGACAAUCCAAAAAAGCGUAAAAGAAAGACUAUGAUACAUUCAUGUUUAGCUACAUUGUCCAGCAUUAAGUCGGCAGAAGAAAUGAUUGAUCUCGAAGAAGAAGGUAACACACAUAUACCAUUAUUAUAUAUAACUGUAUUGAAUUACAGUUAUCUCUUCUUUGACAAAUAUUCUAAAUCUUACAGCUUACAAGGCAAAUGAAAACUCCAAGGAAUAUGUAUCCAUGAUACAGUAUUAUGCAUAUAAAUUCUAGAUAAGAAAAAAAAUUGGGCCAAAUAUUUUAAACGCUUGAAGAGCUUUGCAACAGUAUUCAGUUGAUUUGUACGUUAAAAUAGAGACACAAAGACGAGAUUUUUAUAGAAGCAGACAACAGCAAAUACGUCAAGAGCAGCUACAAGGAAUUAUAGACAAUAUAAUACAGGGACAACAAAAUGGAUUUCGGAUUGAACUGCGAGUAAUAUUGCCUGCAUCAUUUAUUGGAGGCCCUAGAGAUAUGAAAAAAAAGGUAUCUUGAUACUACGACUUUGGUCCAGAAAUUUGGGAAGCCGGAUCUUUUUAUAACUAUGACUUGCAACCAAUCAUGGCCUGAAAUUAAAGAAAAUCUGUUAUAAUCAGAUGAAGCAUAGAAUAGGCUUGAUCUUAUUCCUCGUGUGUUCUAUGCAAAGUUAGAAAUUAUAAAGGAAGAGUUAUUCAAGAAGCAAAUAUUUGGAGAAAUAGUAGCCUAUACUUAUGUUAUAGAAUUUCAGAAACGUGGUUUGCCUCAUGCUCACUUUCCAAUUAUCCUCAAGCCUACUUUCAAAUUAUAUACAAUAGAAGAUUAUGAUUGUAUAGUUUUUGUAGAAAGACCCGAUGAAACACAAAUGAGCAUCUCUUUAGAAUGGUCAAGAAACAUAUGAUGCAUAGGCCGUGUGGCGAGAAAAAAACCUGAUACUGUAUAAAUACAGGAUGUAUCAAAGAAGUAUUGCAAGAAUAAUUAUCCAAAGGCAUGGGCAGAAAAAAUUAGACAUUCUUCGAACUCGUAUCCAACAUACAGAAGAAGAAAUGAUAGCAAAAAAAAUUUUAUCCGGGGGCACUACUUAGACAACAUAUGGGUAGUGCCAUACAAUGCUUAUCUAUUGGCCAAAUUCAAUUGCCAUAUAAAUGUUGAAAUUUGCUCCACAAUUAAGACCGUCAAGUAUGUGUAUAAGUAUACAUACAAAGGUCAUGCAAGGAUACAUUUUCAAGUGAAUUCAGGUGAUGGAGCAAAUGCUAUUGAUGAAAUCAAGGAAUAUCAGUCAGCACAGUAGGUAUUUGCAGUUGAAACGAUGUGGAGGAUAUAUAGAUUUCACCUUUACGAAAUGCAGCAUACUGUAAUAUAGCAUCAACUCCACCUAGAAAACUUCCAAUCUAUGCUCUUUCAACCAAAUGAUAGUCUUGACAAUAUAUUAAGUAACAAUUUUGUAAAAAGAAACUCACCCAAUUUUUUUAAAUGAAUGCUACAGAUAAUUUAACAAAAAGUUUCAAAUGUACCUACAAAGAAUCCCUCGAACAUUUUGUGUGGUAUCCAAGUUCCAAAUCUUAGCAACCUAGCAACAAAGAGAUUUUAUCAGUAGAGUUGUUGCAGCAAAUCCCCUUGAAAGUGAACGGUACUUCUUAGGACUCCUUUUACUGCAUGUUAAAGCCCCAACUUCUUAUGAUGAUUUAAAAACUGUAAACGGAGUGCAUGUUACUACAUUUUGGGAAGCAGCUGCACUUAGAGGAUAUCUGGAAUCAAAUAACUUACAAGAACAAUUUCUAGAAGAAACUAUUGUUUAUCAUAUGCCAUAUAGCCUAAGGAUGUUGUUUGCAACAUUAUUGGUUUACUUUACUCCCUCAAACCCAAGAACACUAUGGUUGAAAUUUGAAGAAUCAUUGUCUAAAGAUUACAAUGGAGUCCCAAACUUAACCAAAAAUGAUAUUCAAUUUAAAGUUUUACAUCAAAUAAGCAAUUUUUUAGAAUCUAUGGGUCGUAACAUAAACAGCUAUGGGCUGGUGCCAAGAGUACUAAAAUUUCACGACUCAAAUCACAAAUGCAAGAGAUACAAUUAGUGAAACAGAGAUUAAAGUUUCAGAGGAUGACUUGAUAUCAAUUACUAAAAUCAAUCCUGGUCAAAAAACAGCUUUUGAUGCUAUAAUGCAGGCGUUAUACAUUAAACAAAAGGGAUGUUUCUUUAUCGAUGGACCAGGUGGCAAACAGCUCACUCUCAAAUGAGUAAACAAAGUGAACUUGCUAAACUUAUUCAAACAGCUAAACUUAUCAUUUGGGACAAAGCUCCAAUGGCACACAAAACUAGUAUAGAAGGUGUGGAUGCACUACUAAAAGAUUCGAUGGAUUCUUCUGAAUUAUUUGGCUCAAACGUUAUGAUUUUUGGUAGUGAAUUUAGACUAGUUCUCCCCAUUGUCACUAAAGGUUCAAAGGAAGAUUUCACAUAAGCUAGCUUAGUAACUUCACAUAUUUGGCCAUAGCUUCAUAAACUGUACCUCACAGAUAAUAUGAAAGCAAUAUCAGACCCAAAAUUUACAAAUUACCUUCUCUGAAUAGGAAAUGGACUAGAACCAACAAUACAAGGGUUGAAAGUAAGGAUCCCUCUCCCACUACUAAUACCAUACAAAAGUGAAACAGAAUCAAUUUUUGAACUUAUUAAAAUAGUUUACCCAAAUGUGUUAAAUAAUUUGUUAAUUGAAAUUUUUUCAGGUGAGUCUCAAAAUUAUAUUAGUCGUGAUAAAACACAUGAAAUUUCAGAACAAGGCCAAUUUGAAGACUUUCUCAACAAAUUAACAUCCAAUGGUUUCCCCCUCCCACACAAGCUUAUUCUGAAACCAAAUUGCCCAAUAAUUCUUCUAAAAAACAUUGAUCCCCCAGAAGGCUUGUGCAAUGGAACAAGGUUAAUAUAUAAAAUUUUGACUAACAAUAUUAUUGAUGCGGUUAUAAGUGCUGGAGAAUUCAAAGGUAAACAAGUCUUUUUACAUAGAAUAUCUUUCCAAAUAGAACAUGAUACUGAUUGCCCGAUGUCAUUUGAAAUACUUCAAUUUCCUGUGCGUCUAUGUUUUGUGAUGACAAUUAAUAAAGCUCAAGGUCUAACUUUAGAUUCCGUUGGCAUAUACUUAUGUGAACCAAUUUUUUCACAUGGCUAACUAUAUGUUGCUUUAUGAAGAGUAAAAAAUAACAAUUGUGUAAAGAUUCUUAUACAGCCUUCUCCCUUUGAUCCAACAGUUGACUAUGCUACUAAUAACAUAGUAUACAAAGACAUUUUAUAGCUUGCAAGUCGCCACCUUUUAUAAUUAUUGAUUACAACAUUAUGACAUUCAUAUCCAUUGCACUUCUUCCCUAUACCUUUUCUGCGCAGCUAUAUUUCUGCACUAAUAAUAGCUUAACACCCAAUGGUUUGUCAUGCAUUGCUCUAUAUUUCACUUGCUUUUAUACUUUGUUAACCUAUAAAUAUGCAAGAAUCAAUGCUGCUAAUAGUUUAGCUGGACCUUCUUAAACUAAUAUUUAUCACUGUAUAUUUAUCUGGUAGCAUUAUACUGAUUCUCCAACAAUUACUGAUUAUCAUUCAUUUAGCCAAAAUACAUUAGAAAAAGCUAUCUUCAUAUUACAACAAAAAAUAAAGAUUAGCCAAAAAAAUUAUGAUUUAUUAUCUGUAACGCCUUCCUUACAUAGCAAGUCACUCAAGGUGUUUAAAAUAACUACUAUAUGAUUUUCUUUAGAAUAACUAACUUUGGCUAAUUUCAAUUUAAUUUGAACAGGUACUAUUUGAUUCUUCUAAAUGUGUUUUUUUACAAAUGACUAUUAUCUCUUUUUGUCAUGCUUAAUCUUCUUGUAGUAAAGUACUUAUUUUUCCAUGCUGAACAUUGAUGUCCUUUUAAUAAAUGAUAAAAUGUUGUAUAUGCAUAUAUAUUUUUCUGCCAUAUAUGAUUAUCUUCACGCCUCUGCCUUAUGUUUAAGCUUCAAAAAUUCAUAAUGCCUAGAUAUCCCUUGAGCUUGAAAUAACUGCGAUCUGUGACAAAGAUGAACUCCUUUCCAUAUUGAAGCAUAUAGACACAACUUGCUAUCUCUUACUCUUGUGUUACUUUGAGAGUUCAUGUUUUGUUCUAUUGAUUUGUGCUUACAUAUUCAUAACUGCAUCCUAUAAUUCAAUUUGUGGUUACACAUAAGGCAUCCAGGCUUUCUACAAGCUAUGUGAUCCUAAAUUCUAUGUUAAACGACAGAUGUCCAAACAUCUAAGACAUUACCAUCUCUACAUCUUCGCUGCCAGCUACCACUGCUUCAAUUCUUGAGUCAAUUUCCAUUUGAGCCACUAGCCCUUCUGAGUCAAUUUCUAUCUAUUACCGAAUACUUGCCAACCUUUCAUUUUCUCCAGACGCCCUAACAAUAAAGAAGCAAACCAUUUUCAAUCUCACUCAUUUGCAUAGACAGCAAAAUAAGGCAAAAUGGGUUAAGAACCUUCUCACCCAACUUCAGUCCUUCUUUUCCUUGAUCUACAAAGCAAAAACUUCAAAAAUUGUUUGUGCAAUUGUUGAUACGCUGACCAAAAUACUUGGUACAUUUGAUCUUCAGAUUGCCCUAUGCAAGGAAAUUGUACAAUGAAUGCAUAAUGAGAACCAAACUUUCCUCUGUCUGUGCACUAAGGCAAAACUCGCAACUCUUUUGAUGGAGAACGAGGAGUAUUCUGAAGCUCUAACUCUCCUUUCUUACACAUUAGAUAACAUUAAAUAACAAAUUGCUUUUCGUAGACAUUAGAUUGUUAAAGAGGAAGCUUCAUUACUCUUUCAAGAAUCUAUCUAAGACCAAAGCUGCACUUAUAGCUAUAACAAUACAUACUAUUUGAACAUUUACUAUUUCAUUCUCAUAAACAUUAGAACUUGUAGGCUCUUAUUAUCUCUUUAGUUACACAAUUGCUCGAGUAGUUCAGUAUUUCACCAUGAGUCUCCAACUGUUCCGCUGAAGUUGAUCUCAAAAGGUUUCAAGGUUCAAAAUUGGCUAACAAGAAAAGAAAGCUUACACAUUGAAAAAUAUUCUGUUGAAUAAGUAAUGCCUUAUGUGUAUUUCCUAUCACCUUAGCAUUGAGUUAAGCUUAUGCUUCAUUUAUGGUGCAAAUAAUGUCAAAUCUUUUGCAAAUAAUGCUUCAUUUAUUGAGUUAGUUUAUACUUUUACAACUGUCCUUAGGAAAUGUUCAAAAAAUAGAGGUUAAUGUUCAUUGCAUUUCAUCUACUCUCCUCGAGGGCACUUUUGUCAUUCCAGCCUCUUGCUUCUUCUUUUUCUUGGAGCUGGUACAACUGGUUGCUGCUUUUGUUUGGAGAAUAUGUCUUUUCUGCCCUUAUUACAAGCCUUAGUCGGAUGUUAGUGGAACAUUGGCUAUUCUAUAGAUGCUCAUUUUCCUCCUUCCAGAUGCUCAUUGAAUGGACUAAGCAUUUUGAACUCAUGUGUAAUAGAGUCAUUUCACAAUAGCCUUCUAUCUUGUACGAGAUGUUGACACAAGCUUGAACUAGCUUGUCAGUUAUUGCUUUUUUUUUUUAUAGCAAGAUACACAUAAUUCUUGCAAUUUUAUAACAAGAAACUCACACUAUUUUUAGCGAUUCUAUUGCAGGAUUACCAGAGAAGCUAAGUAUGAUUAAUGUCUCUAGCAUUAUGGUCAAUGUCUUUAGCGCUUGACAUCAUUUAAGCUAACAAUAUUAAUUUCAGCUGAACGUUGAUGUCCUUUUAAAAAAUGAUAAAAUGUUCCAUAUGCAUUUUUUUCUACCAUAUAUAAUUAUAUUACCAUAUAUAAUUAUAUUCAUAGCUCUACCUUGUGCUUAAGUUUUAGGGAGCCGUAAUACCUAUAUGUGCCUUCCUACUUAGUUUUAGCUUAUGAAAGUCAAGAUAUAUUAAAUAAUAAUAUAUUAUGUGUCAAAGAAAAACUUCUUUCCGCAUUGGAGCAUACAGACAUAACUUGCUACAAGAGCUAUUAAAUGGAACGAGCAGCUCGAAAGCUCGAUUGAGCUUGACUCGAUAAGGCUCGAGCUCGACUCGUUAAUUGUGAUAAACGAGUCGAUCUCGAGCUCGAGAUAUGCUCGUUUAAUUAACAAGCCGAAUAAACUCGACUCGUUUGUUAUCCGAAUAGCUCGAUUAGGCUCGAUAAGGAAGGGUGUAUAUGUCAUUUCACAAUACAACAGUAUAAAAUUAAAAAUUAUAAGUUUUUAUUGAGAUCAAUUUGCAAGCUCGGCUCGUUUGUGAUAAAAGAGUCGAGCUCGAGCCCCACAUGUCCCAUUUGGCGAGCCGAGUCCAAACACAUUUCAAAACUCUUCCGCCUAGUCGAGCGAGCUCGAGUUUGGCUCGAGUCGAGCUCGACAACCAAAUACUCAACUUGACUUGGCUCGAUUAGCAGCACUAUUUGCAACCUCUUAGUCUUAUGUUAGUUUCGCAGUCCAUGUUUUCUUCUACUGAUUUCUACUUGCAUUUGAUAUCAGAGCCUAGAACUUCAUGUGGUGAAAGCAGUUGCUGAUGCUAAUUCAUUGUAUGACACUUUCAGUAUUUCCUCCAUUCUAUUCUCUUGUUGCAUACUAUUGUGUUUAUACAUUUAUUCUAUUUAUAGAUUGUGUAUACAACUUUCGCUUUGCUGCUAUUAUCUAUUUCUUAUCUUCAAUUUCUUUUCUCUUAUGAUAGGUUGCAAUUUUAUCAUUUAUUUUAUUAUUAAUUUCCCUUAUUACCUGACCCAAUGUGGAUUAAUUAUUAAAUUCUACUCAUUUUUAGUAUUUUACAUUUAUUUCAGGGAGUAGAACGAAAAUAUGAUAACAAGUGUCAAUUUGACUGAAAAAGAGUCCAAAUAAUAGAGCUUAUCCCAAGGGCAUUUUUGGAACAAAUAGAUGCUAGCCCUUUUCGGUAAUUUUGUCGAAGACAACAUGGAAAAAGAACCAAAGGGCUGAAGUCUUCUUGGGAUUGCAUGGGCCGCCGCCGCACAGGAGCCAAGCUUUAGAAUGGCUAGGUAUUAGAUGGAAAGAAAAACGCAGAGAACAAGCACUAUAAAAGCUUAGCCGUGAACUUUUCCUUUCAUCUUUAGUUCCUCUUUGACUUUUCUUUUCGGUAUUUUUUGUCCUUUAGUAGCUUUGCUCCCUGCGCAUGUCAGGGAGAAUUAGGAAUUAGCUAUCACUUCUGGUAGUUUGUUUUUCUUAUCGACUGGGACGAAUUGAAUCUUCUUAACUCUCGGAGACGAUGGCCGAGACUCUUGUUUCAAUUUUGUGUGGAUUUUGUUCAUCAAUUAUGAACUAAUUUCCUCACUCUAGUCAAGGGACAACGGAUGCUUUGGGUCGCCUAAAAUUGUGAGAUCGAUUUAAUUUUAUAUUUUCUUUUUAUUUAUUGGUAUUCGCAUAUUUCCUGGUUACAGUGCUUAUGAUUGUUUAAUUAAUUGAUUGUCUUGGGUCCGGAUAAUUAGUUAAUUUGAUAAUCUAUUGUCAAUUGGGACGUUAAAUCCGUAAUUGUUUAAUUGUCUCAAAAUAGUGAUAACUGGCAUGAGUGGGUUUGUGUCAGAGGAAUAUGCGGGCUAAUCUGAAAUAACCCUGGUAAUGCGUUAUUUGGUUAGAAUAGGGCUCAUCUAAUACGUAAGGCAAUUGGAGAAUUAAAUUCUAUGGGCGUACCUAGGAUUAUUUCUCAAUUAGAGUAGUGAUUAACGGGCGUACCUUAAUCACCGACACAGUAAGGAGGGGUUGACUGUCAUCGCUUAUUUGGUAGUUAUAACCUAUUUAUUGAUAAAUAAUUGAAAGUGCCUUUGUUUCGAUGAUCAAUUAGGUGAACCAUUGCUGAAGUUAUUCCUUGGCUAGAUCUUUGAUUAAUUUUACCUUGAUUUUAGUAAAUUGCCAUUUGACUUUUAGUUGCCUAUUUUAUUUUAUUUUUAAUUGUCUUCUUGUUCUAAUUGUUUUGGAUCAUUAAUUAUUGUUACGUUAAGUUUAGUGAAUUGCCGUUUAAUUUCUAGUUAGUAUUUAUUUUUAUUUACUUAUUGGAAUUUAUUUGAUUGUCGUCGUUCCUACAAAAUUACCCCCUUGUGUUACCUUGGAUUUCUUAAGAAAUAAAUAUACCCAAUUCCUGUGGAUACGACCCUACUUGUCCUGUCUACAAAUUCAUAAUUAUUUGUGAGAAAAAAUAACCAUCCCAUUCGGGUAUAUCCGAUCAAGCAAACUCUUCGGGAACAGGGUGAAUCAAAUAACCCAUUGCACACCUAGAGUCCCUGCUCCAGUACUUGAAAUUGGAUUUUGGUCAUUUUAACUGGCAAUUAGGUUUAAUUUUACUAUUGUACAGGCCUCGACGCUCUGUCAAUUUUUGGCGCCGUUGCCGGGGACUGGCGUUAUUAUUUGUUUCUUUUAAAUUCAUUCUUGUUUUAAUUUUCUAGUGCUUUUCUAGUGUAUGCCUCGGUCUUCUCGUACAGGUGAUUUGAUUUUUGACCCUGAAGUAGAGAAGACUGCGCAUAGAACGAGAAAGAAAACCAGACAGUUCAAAAAGGAGCACUCCAGUGCUGCAUCUCAGAGACCUGAGCCAGAAGUUGAACCAAUAGAUUUGUUUGAUGACACUUCAAGUGACUCUGACUAGGAGAAAGGAACCAUGGCUAAUGCACGAAUAUUAAGGGAGUUGGCUGCUCCUAACUUAAAUCAGCAGCCUUUGUGCAUUACUUUCCUAAAUUUAGAUGAUAGCAUUCCAUUUGAAUUAAAAUCUGGCCUAAUUCAUCUUUUACCUUCCUUUCAUGGUUUACCAGGUGAGGAGCCGUAUAAGCAUCUGCAGGAGUUUGAUGUUGUGUGCAACAGUAUGAAACACCCGGAAAUCACAGAAGAGCAAAUAAAAAUGAGGGCAUUCCCCUUUUCCUUGAAGGAUUCUGCAAAGGACUGGCUGUACUACCUGCCACCAGGUAGCAUUACCACGUGGGACUAAUUAAAGAAAAAUUUUUUGGAUAAAUAUUUUCCUGCGUCCAGGACUGCAAGUCUAAGGAAAGAAAUUUGCGGGAUCAAGCAGCACCCAGGGGAGUCACUCUAUGAGUAUUGGGAGCGAUUCAAGAAGUUGUGCAACAAAUGCCCUCAGCACCAGAUAAGUGAGCAGUUGCUCAUACAGUAUUUUUAUGAGGGCUUCUUUUCAGAGAUAGGAGCAUAAUUGAUGCUGCAAGUGGAGGGGCACUGGUGAACAAAACCCCUCGGAAAGCACGGGCGUUAAUAAAGGGGAUGGCAGAGAAUUCGCAGCAAUUUGGUACGAGGGAGGAUGCUCCGAUACGCAAAGUGAACGAGGUAGAGACAUUCUCUAUCCAGUAGCAGUUGACUGAAUUGACUUCUUUUGUUAGACAACUGGCUAUAGGAAAUGCAUAUCAGGUCAAGGUGUGCGGGUUUUGCACUGGUAUGGGUCAUUCUACAGACAUGUGCCCAAUGAUUUACGAAGAAAGUGCAGAGCAAGUGAACAUGGCUGGUCACGCGUCCGCGCCAAGAAGGCCCUAUGACCCCUAUUCAAGUACCUACAACCCUGGUUGGAGGGACCACCCUAACCUCAGUUAUGGAGGGAACAGGCAGACUAACUUCGUGCCAAAUAAAUAACAAGGGUACCAGCAGCAGAACCAACCUCGACCAGCUCCGCCCCCAAGCUCUGGUCCAUUUUUGGAGGAAAUGAUGAAACAACUGAUGGCAACCAUUACGCAAAAUCAGCAAAGGACGGACUCUGAAAUGCAGGAUAUAAGGAAUCAAAUGAGUCAAAUGGCCACAAAAAUCAACCGUUUGGACUCCCAAGUAAAUGGAAGAUUGCCAUCCCAACCUGAACUGAACCUGAAGAACGUAAGUGCAAUGACUUUAACGAGUGGGAAGGAAAUUCAGGGGCCCGAACUUGUGACUCCAAAGGAUAAGGACGAAGAGAAGAUUGAGAAAGAACUUCAAGCAGAGAAUACAAGUACCAAAAAUCCAGUGGUACUCCCUGAUCCGAUCAUAGACGUUAAAACUAAUCCCACUCCAUUUCCUUGCAAGUUGGAGAAAUCGAAGAAACAGGACAAUGAGAAAGAGAUCUUGGAGGUGUUCUGCAAGGUAGAGAUCAAUAUUCCCUUACUAGACACCAUCAAGCAAGUGCCGAAGUAUGCAAAAUUUCUGAGGGAUCUAUGUGUCAAUCGAAAGAGGCUGAGGGAAGAUGAAAGAGUUAUUGUUGGGGAGAAUGUGUCAGCAGUUCUCCAAAGAAAACUCCCACCAAAGUAUGGGGAUCCAGGUAGAUUUACUGUCCCAUAUAAGAUAGGUAAUACUCUGAUUAGGAAUACCCUGCUGGAUUUAGGAGUAUCGAUCAACGUAAUGCCUAAAUCUAUGUAUGCUUUUUUGAACCUCGGUCCAUUAAAAAAAUCGAGAUAAUAAUUCAAUUAGCUGACCGAACAAAUGCAUACCCUGAUGGGUUGGUAGAGGAUGUGCUGGUUAAAGUUAAUGAAUUGAUAUUCCCGGCUGACUUUUAUGUACUUGACAUGGAUGAUGAUCAUUCCCCUAACCCCUCACCUUUGCUACUAGGUAGACACUUUUUGAGCACAACACAGACAAAAAUUGACGUUAAUAAGGGUACAUUGUCCAUGAAAUUUGAUGAAGAACUAGUCCACUUUAAUAUUUUCGAUACAAUGGAACAUCCUGUUAACUCUCACCCUGUGUUUGCUAUUCAUGCUAUUAAUCCCUCUGUGCAAGAAUUUUCUGAAUUUGCUUGUAGGGAUAAAUUCAAAUUUAUUGAGAACAAGUAUAAGGGGAUGAAAGUAUUGUAUGAGGUGAAAAGGAGUAGAAAAUUAAGAAAGAAAGCUGCACUCAAAGGCUAUUUGGAUCCUGGAGGAGGGCCACCGAUUUCCAGGAAAAUUGAGUUACACCCAAAUUGAAGAGUGGUGUUCAAUGUCUAGCCAAACACAUUAAAAAAAGGCGCUCAUUGGGAGGUAACCCAAUUGUUUCUUUUAAUUGUUUGUUUGAUUUCGUGUGAUAGUUUAAAUAUGUUUUCCUUGAAUUUGACUGAUUUCGGGUUUCAAUUUUCGUUUUUGAUGAUUUGUAGGUGUCCUUCUAUCAUGACAUGCCCGCGUCAUGACGUAUGGAGAGCUCACGGUCAGAAUCGUCAGAAGGGAUUCCUGCCCUCAUGACGCGCCCGCGUCAUAACGUAUAGAAAGCUCACGAUCAGAAUCGUCAGAAAGGGUUUCAGUCCUCAUGACGUGCCCGCGUCAAGUCCCAUGAAGAGCUCAUGAUCAGAGAGCUCUCUUGCUCUCAUGACGUGCCCGCGUCAAGUAACCUGAAAAGCUCUUCACUCCGUGCCUUCGUCACAUGCCCACGUCACAUUCGCGGGAAAGGUAAGUAUUCAAAAAAAAACUCAAGAACGAUUAUUGAUUUCCUGUUAAUCUCUACUUUUGAAUUCCAAAAAUAAAUUUUGUUAAUAAUUAAAAAAAAAGAUGAUAUAUGUAAAAAAAAUUCCAAAAAAAAAAAUUUUCAAGUAAGUAACAAGGAGAAAAAAAAAAGGGGAGUCUUUCCGUGAAAAAAAAAAAAAUUUCUAAAAUGAAAAAAAAAACGAAAAAGCAAAAAAAAAAAAAAGCAGAAAUACUAUUUUCUUUUUCUUUUUCUUUCUUCCCUAUUCUUUCUUUUCUUUCCUUUUCUUUUUUCUUCUUUCGAAUUUGUGGUUCAAGGCAUGUUGUGGAGAGCACAAGGCAUAUUUUCCUCAAUUUGAACCAUACUUCAGGAAUUAAAAUAAUUUUUUCUUUUUUUAUUUUUCUUUCAAUUUAUCUAAUUUUUAAUAUUCAUUUUUAAGAUUUAAAAUAAUUAUUGAUUCAAAACUAUUAUGGAAGCAAAUAUAUGGUUUUUAUAAAAUAAUAAACAAAAACUUUUUUCUAUUUUUUUGGAUUGCUUCAAGGUUAAUAAAAUAAAAAUAUGUUCUUUUUUUAAUGCAGCAUGGCCUCAAUAAGGGCAUUUUCGGUAUUAAGGGGAUUUUUGUUAAAUGUUUAAUCAUUCAAAGGGUGAGACCGUUAUUUGGACAAAUUACAGGGAUUAAUUGGUAAUAUGGUCAAAUCUCAGGGGAGGUAAAUGUAAUUAACCCUAUCUUUAGUUAUGAUAAUCCGCUUGCGAUCAUUACUGAUUUCACAAUCACUGUCUUUGGAUACCAUUCUAUGAAACAUUUCCAGUUUUUUUUUUUUUUCUACUUGUAAUUGAAGAUAAUUUCCACAGAACUAGUCAAUAAUAAUCCACCAUCAACUGUGAGAAAGCAAAACACCUACAAAUCAAUUGCAAGUGCGAAGGCUCUGAUUUGGUGCUGAAUUGGGCACUUAUUCGUGCCAAUUCAAUCCUAAAUUUUCCUUCCCCAUUCUUCAACCUUUCAAUAUCCAGUUACAAGAAGAACAAAAAAUAGUGAACAACCAUCAAUUCAGUUUUGGCAUUUUUCCAACAUGCUUGCUUGAUUGCUAUGACCGUAGGGCAGUUUCCUUUUUCCGUUAAUCUAAUUCCGUGAUGGGUCAAUAGAAAAUUCAUCCGAAUUCAGUCUUUCUCACGUAAGAAGAAUAUAUGAUUACAAAUGACCAAAUAAAUUAAAGAGGGACAAAUUCAAGAAGACCAAUAAUAUAAAAAUUCCAAACAUCCAUAGGUUGCACACAAUAAUUCUCACAAAUUUUAAGUUAUAAAAAAAGAAAUUUUGCAAAGGAGGGCCCUACUUCGAUGCUGGCACCGUGACGAUGAACUGCCAGAUUGGGGUCUCUUUCAUGUUUUGGUUUAUCCUUUUUAGGGUUGUUAAAAAUUAAAUUUGGGGAGAUAAGGUUGACGAUUGAUGAAAUCUGAUGAAGAAAGUUGUUUUUUCUAUGGCAUAUUGAAGAAUGGUGGUAUAUUCGAUCAAUGGUAUCCAAUAGUCUUGAAAUAGAAACACAAUUUUUUUUUUAUUUAAAAGAGACUUUUGUUUGUUUUUUAAAUUGAUAUGCAUCACAAAGUGUAUCCUUUUUAAGUUAAUUUUGAGCAAACCUCUAAUGAGUUCCUUUGUGAAAAUUUCAUUUAAUAAAUCCAUAUUGAAAUGACAAAGCCUUCUAUUCCGCAGUUAAGGAUCAUCAUUUGUAACCUUAAGACACUAAUCUUACUAUCAUCAAUUUUUCAAGAUAUAUCACAUAAAUAUCAUUGUAUCUUUUGCCUUUGAAUACAACAUUAAAAUUAGUAUCAAGAAUCAAAUAUUCAUGCCUUUUAAACAAUACAUAAAGAUAUCUAUCACAUAAUUGAUUAACACUGAACGAAUUAUAGCUUAAGUUAUGAACCAAAACAAUAUUUUGAAUGAAAGUGUCACCGUUUUUGUCAAUAUCUCCUAUUCAAAUGGUUUUAACCUUCAUGUCAUCUCUAAAGGUGAUCUUUUCACUACUUUCUAGCUUGAACUUGAUGAAUAGAGGUGGAAUACCAGUCAUGUGCCUUAAACACCUAUUAUCAAUGAACCACUUUAAUCCUUUAGUGGUGUUCUUCAAGUAUACCUAUAUAUAAAAAUCAAGAAAUGAUAUUUGGUACCUUUUUAUUAUUUGAUCCGUAAUUGUUAGUACAAGAUUUAAAUAUCCACAUGCUAUUAGGAAUACUAAUUUCUUAUCCAAGUGGUUUCUUUCCCAACAAAUCUAGUGAAUUAUAAAUAAGACAUUAUUUAGGAUGUUUUCUAGAGAGAGAGAGUGUAGAAAAAUUUGUUAGGUUUUCUACAAUGGUUUUACUUUUUUUUACGAUUUGAGAUUUCAAUAAUAUUGUGAGUUGAUUAUUUUCUUCUCUCCUACACUUUUUUUGAACGUCUAUUUUAUCCCUUCAAUCCUAUAACCCUACACACAUUGGUUAUUAUUAAAACCCUAAAAUUUAGGUUCCACAGAUCUCAGAUGGUAGAGGAUUCCAAUGACUAGAGAAAACUAGGAGUUCUGUACGGAACGGAAUAUUUCAAUGAACAUCUUUUUUUAGGUGUUAAUGGAGUUUAUUAUAUGGCAAAUUACACUUUACCCUGUGAUUUAGUGUUUUUCUACAUAACCCCCCUAUAGUUUCAAAAGUUAUACAUAACUCCCUCAUGAUUUGGAUUAAAGUGUCAAAGUGACGGAAAUGAGUAUUCAUAACGGAGUCAUUUAAAAUGUCAAAAAUAUCCUUAUGUAAAAUUGAAAAUUAUUUGUUAACCAAAGGGGGUUAUGUGUAUAUUUUGAAAAUCAUAAGGGGGUUAUAUGAUAAAGUAUUAAACUAUAAGUGAGUUAUAUAGUAAACUAUAAAAUCAUACGGGGUUAGUGUAUCAUGUAUUUAUAAAGGUAACUUUGACGUUUUUAAAGAUUCUGUUACGAAUGAUAAUUUCCGUUACUUUGACACUUUAAUUUAAAUUGUGAGGAGGUUAUAUAUAAUUUUUGAAACUAUAGAGAGAUUAUGUGAAAAAUCGCUAAAUGAUAGGAGAGUAAAGUGUAAUUUGCCCUUUAUUAUAUAGUUAGUGUGUUUUGGUAACUCUUUAGUGAUUUGACAAUGCAUGUGUUGGGUUUAGUGGUCGUUUUGUCCUCUGCUACUUUCGGGUGAAUUCUUGUUUUUUCAAUAAUAUCGUGUUUUAUCAAACAACAUCGAAUCAACAAUAGCUAUAAAUAUCUUGACUGAUCAUGCCGACCGUACUACUAUCAUCUUUCUGUCUGUAUCAUAGAGAGUGUUUGGAUAGAAUAUUAUUUGAAAUGUUAUUGAAAAUAAUUAAUGUAACACUUUUUGUAAUAUAAUGUAUGUGAGAUAAAAAUAUAAUUAAAAAUAUAAAAAAUAGAUUGAGAAAUAUGUUUAUGAUACAAAUAAAAUAUUAUUUAACAAAAUUGAGUUAUCACGGCUCAAGUGGGGGCUAUUGCCCCUACUUAAGUUUUAAAAAAAAAAAACUCUAUAAACAAAUUUAGACACUCUCUAACUCAAAAUCGACAUUUCUGUCUUAUUAAAAUAGAUAAAUAGACAGGUAUAGUGGCCUUCUCCUCAUUUUCUUCUUAUCUUCUAGUAGCGACAUCCAUGGACCAGAUUGAAAAUAUAAUGCUGUUUUUAUGCGUUUUGCCGUUUACAUGAGCUUUGAUACCAAAAUGACAAAACACAUAGGCCCACCAUUGGCUCCUUUUCAAGUAUUCCUUAAAAACUUUCGAAUUAUCAUCGCUAAAUGAACAGGGCAAAGUUGGGAUAUUGAGCAGAUUUCCUUCUUUUUUUCUAACAUUUUCUUGACGAAAGCAGAUUUCCUUCUUCAAUGCUUUUUCUUUUUAGCUGAUAAGACGUUUAUGUUGAAAAAUUGCUAUUGCUACUGAUCGAGAUGCGGCGCGACAAAUAGGUUGGGAAGGAGGUAAUAAUAAUUAGUACGUGCUCCAAUGCAAACACAUGUGAGUAGACACGGAAAUAACUAUUUUAUUGAGUCUCAAAUAUUCAGCGAAUUUCUAGAAAUAAUACUAAAUUUAGAAAAUUUUCUCCACUUAGAGUUGCCGUAUUUUUCAAAUGUAGCAACAACAAAACAGUAUUUUUAUUUUGAAUUAUUUUUUGGUGUCACAAAUGCGGCGACAAUUAAAGAGUAUUUUUUUUGAAUUAUUUUUUGGUGUCAGAAUGACUAAAAUUUUUUAUUUUUUUAUACAUCUUCGCGGGCGACUGUGAAAAUGACCAUUUGGAUGCGGCGACACCAAGAUGUGAGAAGUCUUAACCGUCAAGUUUCUUUAUAUUAGAUCUAAAUUUUAUCAGAUUUGUUGUUGAAGCUGAGAUUUCUUAGAUCUAUCUCGUCGGAUCUCACUUUAACAUUAGGCUUAAAUCACUUCAUUAGCAUAUCUCGGAGGAAGCAAACGGUACAUUUGAAAGUAUUUUUGAGACUAUAAGUGCUUUAUUAUUCGAUAUUUUUCGAGUUCUGCAGUACAAUUAUCUAGUAUAUAUUUGAAAGUAUAUUUUGUUGGUUUUUCAAAACUGUAAUAUCUAGUAUUUGUUCUUCGAAUAUGUUGCCACUAGUACGGAUUUGAUAAAAUGAUGAUGAUUUUAUCCCCAAAAAAAAGACUAUAGAAUUAAGCCCGUACAAAUGCUUGGGCGGGGGGGGGGGGUUGUGUAGGCAGUGGGUAGUAAAAGGUUGUGGACAAAAUUGAAGAAAACAAAUUAGUAGGGCACAACGUGACAAAGUUUUUCAUAAAGUAUAAGACCAUCAACGAACAGGUAUUGUGAAGUGAAAUGAAAGAGACCUUGAAAACUUAUCCUCCUUAAAAAAAAAAAAAAAAAAAAAAAAUUAUCUUCACAAAAAUUUCAAGGUCAUCCAGCCUGCAACAUUCAUGUUUGCAUUGAAGAUUGUUCAUGUGUCAAUCACGAGUCUUUGUCUAUAUCUCCUUGUGCCAUGAGACUAUAUAGGGCCAGUUUGGAACCUGAGUUUUUUGGAAGUUUGUUUAAAAUUUUACUGUAGUGCACUGUAGAAAUUUUUGAAAAAUUUUUGUAAAAGUUUUUGCAAGGUGAAAAACUUUUUUUUCUUUCAUUUUCUCUUUCUAUUUCUAUUUCUAUUUCUUUCUUUCCUUUUUCUUUUCUUUCCUCCCUUCUUCUUCUUCUUCUUCUUUUUCCUUCCCCCUCCCCCUUCCCCGUUACCUCUGUCUCCCACCUCCAGCACCUCCGCCAGCACCACCUCUUUUUUUUUUUUUUUGCUUUUCUCCUCCCCCCCCUCCCUUUCCCUCUCCCUCGCUCUCUCCCGCCACCCCUAAACUUUUUCACCAUCCCUUUCCUCUCCCCUCUGCUCGCCACCCCCUCUACCCACCAUCCCUUUCCUCCCUCUCCCUUGCUACCCCUCUGCCCCCCACCCCCUAGGCCCGCCACCCCUCCCUCUCCCUCCCCCGCCAUCCUUCUCUGCCCACCAAUGUCACCGCCUGCAUCAUCUCCAUCCGGAAGCCCACGUGAGUUCUGCAGUUCCGACCAUUGUAGAGGUUCCAUCCGUGGGUGCCAGUGUUCCUUCCACUUUCUAUGUCUUCCUCUUCCAACGACAACAGCCGUGUGGUGCAGGGCGGAGCGUGGUGGAGGGGAUGGAAGUGCAAUUGCCGAAGUUCUGACUCGGAUUGCAGCGCCCAGGAAAUGGAGAAUCGCUCAACAAGCUUCUCGUUGCUCGCGCAAUGAUACUUACUCCGGCGAAUUGCUUGGUCGACUCCGGACAACUUUCUGUGCUUUGAAAGAAAAACCGGGAAGAGUUUUGUGUGCUUUUUGUGAAUUGAAAGGGAAAAAACCAGCUUGGACGACGUUGUCUUGUUAAAAUGUUUCAGAAAGGGACGAAAGUUUUGAGAAAAGUUUUUGGGGUUCCUGUAGCAUAAGUUGUUAAAAAACUAGUAUAAUACAAACUUGCUCAAAAACUAGGCUUCCAAACAGGCCCUAUCAUGUAGAUAUUGUAAAUUAAUAUGGUUCUUUUUCUUUUUUCAGUAAUCUAUCCCUAUCAAAAACUUAGAAUGUCCAUUCUCUAAUUUAUAAAAUUAUAAAACUAUAUACUAUUUACUUUUCUCAUAUUGUACUUUACCACCACGCACCAUCAAUUAGAGUAAUCCUCAGAUUUAUUGGACAUUGAUUGUUAAGUUGAGCAUGAUAUCAACUAUUUUUACUAUAUUUGUAUUAUAUUUUGUAUUUUAAAUUUUAUAUAGUUGUUUACUUUAACUCUUUUGUACGAAUAUUUGUUAAGAAAAAAAUUUCAAAGACAAAAAAAAAAAAAGCUGAUGCAAGCAAAAGUAAACAACCAGACAUUGCAUAUCCUUCAAUUUGAUUUAUUUUAGCGUAUUUGACCAAAAUUAUUACAAAGGGCUUAAUCCAACCAAAUGUCUCGAGUAGCUCACUAACUAGUUUUCUUGAUUUAAUGCACUUAGUCACACCACGUCUCACUCUCAUUAUAAUUAACAAUGAGAAGGGAUCCUCUUGAAAACAUCAGAUGCAGAAGAAAGCCACUUGUUAUAGACCCAUACCUUGGUCCGUAUCCAACGUCAAAUAUAUUUGUUUGGAUAGUAAACUUAUUCCAAAUAAUAUUUCGCUUGCAUCAUAAACACAUUUUUCAACCCAUCUUUUUAUAUUUCCAAUCACCUUUUUAUUUCGCAUACAUCACGUCACAAAAAGUACUACAGUAAUUAUUCCAAAUAAUAUUUCAAAUAAUACUCUAUCCAAGCAAGAACUAGGAACAAUCCAUAUGUUUACGAAAGCAGUUCUAGCAAUUGGUCAGAUCUAAUGGCCUGUAACUCACAUCGUAAUAUUUUAUAUUUUAUAAUUCUGUUAAAUUUAAUGAUUUUUCAAAUUAGAUAUAUCUUUCAUAUGUUUUAUAUAUUUUCUGCCAUUACUGGUCUUUUUUCGUCAAACAAAUCGUGAUAGAUGAUUUUCAAUUAGUUUAUUAAUAAUAUUGACUCCUAUUUUAUCAAAAAAAAAAAAAAAGAACUAGGAACAAUCGAAACAAUCACUAGGCACAGGCACAUACCAGAAGGAUGUUGCUUGAGCUUAUCAAUAUGAACCCACGCAAUCAGCAGACUGCCUUUUGCCGAUGCCGCACUAAGGCUUCUUAAGUUUAUUUUAUCAACUCAACAAUCCAAUAUCCAAUGACUUUGGAAAAACUGUGUGGAAAUUUAUCCUCAAACGAGAUCAAGAUCUAUGAAGUUUCACGAAACCGUGCUCAUAGGACUAGGGUCUUGUUUGGUAGAUAAGUUUUUUGUCAAAUUUAUCUGUUACAAGUUUUUUAAAAACUUUAACUACAAUAAUCUCAAAAAACUUCUCAAAGUUUUUAAACUAUACACAUUAAAAUAUUAAAAAAAACACACUUUAAAAUUUUUUUUAAAAACUUCUACAGUAAGUUAUAGUAAAAUUUUAAACAAACACCCAAAAAAUUCACUUGCCAAACGUUGUCAUUACACUCUUAUAUGUCUUCUCAUCUUUAAUUACUGAUGUCACAGUCACUAUCUUAGGAUGCCAUUCUAUGAAACACGUAGUUUAAGCAUUUUUGCCAACAUGCCAUGACCAUAAGGCAGUUUCAUUUUUUCCUUUAAUCAAGCUUGAUAAUGAGUCAAUACAAAAUUCUCAUCCGAAUUCAGUCUCCCUCACGUAAAAAGAUUAUAUGAUUACAAAACUGCAUACAAAUGACCCAAAAAAAAAAAUUUAAGAGGGACUGAUUCAAGAAGUCUAAGAAAUAAAAUAUCCAUACAUCCAUACCUUGGGCUCUUUUUAAAAAUUUUUUUUUAUUAUGCUGUUUUGGUUUAUCCUCUUUUGGGGGUUUCAAAAUUAAAUUUGGGGAGAUAAGGUUGAUGAUGUGAUGAAAUCUGACGAAAAAAUGGUUGUUCGAAGGACGGUAAAAUUAAUUGAAGAGCGGAUGAAUUGAUACUGUAGCUGCAGAAGGUAAAAUUUAAUUACCUCAAUUUGUUCCUUAUUACUCAUUUGCAUGUCUCUCACUUUAGGAUAACCUGCCAUUAUUUGGCCUCUGUGGAUUUGAUGAUCAUCAUUUUAGGAUUUGAUGAUCUCAUUUUAGUUCUGUACGGAAUGGAAUAUUUCAAUGAACAUAUUUUCUUAGGUGUUAAUGGAGUUUAUUAUAUAGUCAGUUUUGGAAACUCUUUAGUGAUUUGACAAUGCAUGUGUAUGGUUAGUUGUCGUUUUAUCAAUAAUAUCGUGUUUUUUCAAUAACAUCGAAUCGAUAAUAGCUAUAAAUAUCUUGACUGAUCAUGCCGACUGUACUAUUCUCAUUUUUCUUAUCAUAUGGAGUGUUUGGAUAGAAUAUUAUUUGAAAUAUUAUUUAAAAUAAUUAAUGUAGUAUUUUUUUAUAAUGUGAUAUAUAUGAAAUAAAAAAGUGAUUAAAAAUAUUAAAAAAUGAAUUGAAAAAUGUGUUUAUUUCUUUCAAAAAAAUUAUGUUUAUGAUACAAGCGAAAUAUUAUUUGAUAAAAUUGAGCUAUCAUGGCUGAGGUGGAGGCUAUUGCCCCUGCUUCAUUUUUUUUUAAAAAAAAACUCUAUAUAUUAUGUAUAUCAAGUAUUUUUGGUCCCACCAAAAAUGAUACAUUUGCGGUCGAUAUUAAUUGGGAGUAAAAGUGCAAACAAAUUUAGAGACUCUCUAACUCAAAAUCGACAUUUCUGGCCUUAUUAAAAUAGAUAAAUAGACUGAUAGAGUAGCCUUCUCCUUCUUUUCUCCUUAUUUUCUAUUCCCUCUGUCCCAUUCAUUUGGUUAUACUUUUCAUUUUGAAAUGUCCCAAAAUAAUUGUCAUGUUAGAAAAGUCAAAUCAACUUUUACACUCUCUUUUCAAUAUAAUCCUUUUUUUUAAUCAUACAUUCAAAUUUAAAAUUUGAAUUUGAGGGGGUAAAAUUGGAAAGAAAAGCACAAACAUCACAAUUAAACCACUAUUCUUAAAAAGUUGGAUUCCCCAAACAUAACCAAAUGAAUGGGACGGAGGGAGUAAUAGCGACAUCUACGGACUGGAUUGAAAAUAUAAUGCUGUUUUUAUUUUCUAUGUCACAAAAUGAUUGUCACUUGCUAAUAUUGACAAACCAUUUUUAUUCAAUUUUCGUCUUUCAACCAACCAUUAAGGUGAAAGAGGAAAGUGUAGAUUAAAGCUAUAAUUAUUGGUUUACAAAGUUGAAAAGUAAGUGGAAAAAUGACAAAACACAUAGGCCCACCAUUGGCUCCUUUUCAAGGAUUCCUAAAAAACUUUUGAAUUGUCAUCACUAAAUGAACAGGGCAAAGUUGGGAUAUUUUUCAGAUUUCCUUCUUCAAUGAUUUUUCUUUUUAGCUGAUAAGACUUUUAUGUUGACAAAUUGCUAUUACUACUGAUCGACAUGCGACGCGACUAAUAAAUUGGGAAGGAAGUAAUAAUAAUUAGUACGUACCAAAUGCAAACACUUGUGAGUAGACACGAAAAUUACUAUUUUAGUGUGUUUUAAAUAUUCGGCGAAUUUCUAGAAAUAAUGCUAAAUUUAGAAAAUAUCCCAUUUAUGGUAUUUCAUGAGAUUGUUUUCUUUACUUAGAGUCAUCUUUGACAAUAAAAUAGUAUUUUUAUUUUGAAUUAUUUUUUGGUGUCAGAAUGACUAAAAGUUUUAAUUUUUUUAUACAUCUUUGCGGGUGACUGUGAAAAUGACCAUUAGCCGCAUCCAAAAAGUGGAUGCGGCGACGCAAGAUGUCAGAAAUCUUAACCGUCAAGUUUUCUUAUUAUUUAUUUGGGAGCAAAUUAUCCCAGUGGCCACUAAACUUUUGCCAUCGUCGAGUUUUGGUCACUCAACUAUUAAAAGGCUGGUUUUGACCAUCAAACUGUAUAAAAGGUAGACUCGAACCCAUUCUGUUAGAUUUAGUCGUUAACUUCGCAGAGGUGUCCGUUUGCGCGAUUUCCAAUACAAAAGGUAGGGUCAAUUUAGAAAGUCGAAAAUAGAUCUUCUUGUUCUUCUUGUAUAAAGCUAAUAAAGAUUACUUACCCGAGAGAAACUACAAGAGAAGGAAAUGGAAGAAGCCCAACUUGGAUUAGAGGAAGCAGGACCAAGAUCAACGCCACCAAGAGCCGGGCCAGCAAGAUCCAUGCCACCUACAUCGUUGACACCCAUUUUGCCUACUUGUGUUUGUGGGAUGAAGACAGUAAUGAUAACUUCAUGGACUGUACAAAAUCCGGGAAGAAGAUUUGCCAAAUGCGCAUUGGGGGAGGUUUGUAACAUUUUUUUAGAUACUUAAUUUAUUAUUGUGUAAGAAAUAUAAUGAAUUUGUUUUUUUUUUAAGGAUGGCUGUGGCUAUUGGGGUUGGAUAGAUGAUGAAAUGUGCGCUCGAUCUACAAUGAUUAUACCGGGUCUACUCAGAAAGAUCAAUGGAAUGGAGGAAAAAAUGGUUGAAUUUGAAAAAGCUGCAAGAAAGUAGGAAGCAAAAGCUGUGAAAUUGGAGGGUAAAAUGAAGCCACUUCAAAUUAAAAUUGCCAAGUACAAAUCAGCCAAUAAGCGACUCAUUCGAUGCGCAGUGUUGCCUUGGCUAAUAGUUGUCUUAGCAAUGUUAGUUAUGAGAAUAGGUAAUUCUGGUGGCAUGCUACAAAUUUGUGGCAUCGUUGAAAAUCCUUGAAGAAUAGCUACUCUGUUGUAAUGGUAGCAUAUUGAAAGGGAAAGGGCAAAUGGCUUUAUAAAGCCCCUUUUGUACUCCUCUGUAUAAACAUUUUGAUGUAUAAAAGUUGUAUUGUUCACAUGAAUAAAUAGUUAUUAUUUGGUGUCAAAAAAGGUUUGAAACAACACAUUUCAGUUCUAUUAAUUUCAUCAAUAAAUGACAAAGACAUAAGAACUAAACAAAAGUGCUGCAUUAACAUAGAACAAUCUGUGUAGAUUGGACAAAAUAAAUUGUUUGUACAUAUGGACCAUGUUCGUAAUAGGUCAGUAUAUCAAAUCCAAAACAAACUUCAUACAAAAAGACAAAAUGUAGUUGAAUUAUGUCCCAAUCUAGCUAUAGCUUUCUUCCUCUUCAAUUUGAUCCUCUUUUGACUCUUGGUUGUCCUCUGGUAGUUGUUGCUGAAGUUCCUCCUCUUCUAAUACCAGUUCUACUCCAUUUUCCUCUCCAAUUUCCAACAGUGAAAGGAGGUUCUUUACUUAAAUAUGCAUAAUUGACAUUGAUCCGCCCCUUUUCUGAAUCUGUUAACUUUCGUUUUCCUGCUUUCCUUUGUUGAUGAGCCCCUUGGCUCUGAGACUGUUGUUGGUUUUGUACAACUUCUUCCUGCUGUCGAUGCUGUGCAUGUUCACUUUCCUCAACAGCAGAUUGUGAUUGCUGUUCUUGUUGGUUCUGCUGAUACUCUUGAUCCUGCUGCUGCUGUUGAUUCUGUUGCUAUUGCUGAUCCUGCUGCUGUUGCUGCUGCUGAUGUUGAUUUUGUUGCUGCUGCUGCUGAUUUUGCUGCUGCUGAUAUUGAUCCUGCUGCUGGUGUUGCUGGUGCUGUUGUUGGGUCUGCUGCUGCCUCUGGUGCUGCUGUUGGGCCUGAUGAUGCUGCAUCUGAUGCUGGUGUUGGGUCUGAUGUUGCCUCUGGUGCUAGUGUUGGGUCUGAUGUUGCCUCUGGUGCUGGUGUUGGGUCUGUUCAUGCUGACUCUGGUGCUGGUGUUGGUUCUGCUGUUGCUGCUGCAUAUUCUUAGAACCACGCUGCUGCUGUUGGUUCUGCUCCUGCUCCUCGCUAUCCUGAUUCUGCUGUUGUUGAUUGUCUUGUUGCUGCACCUUGCAACCAGCUGCAUUAUGGCCGGCAACACCACAUUUUCUGCAAUGGUUGACUAUUCUUCUCCGCAACCUGUUUCCAGUCUUUUGAGUUUCAGUAGGAUCUCUUCUCCUGGCCUUCUUAGGUCUGCCAGGUUGCACUAUCCUUUCUGGUGGAUCAAGAUCUACCCCAUCAGCUUCAGGCCACAUUACUUGUCCAUUGAUAGGAUACAAAACAUUUUUGUAAAUUUUUUGAAACAGAUCUCUGUUGUAGCAGUCAUACACCUCUUUAUAGGGGUCGCCAUUAUUUCUGUGAAUUGCUGCAAUAGCAUGACAGCAAGGAAUACUUGAUAGAUCCCACAGUUUGCAUGUGCAGGAUUUUUUCUUUAAAUAAACAGCAAACUGGGCCCCCCUUGGUCCCCUAACCUGGUAUCCAUCCACAGCAUUCCAAAUGGUCCUCCAUUGUCUUGAUUCUAUCACCCUAUCAUCAAUUAUUUUUUUAAUUAGUGGGCCAAUGGACAAUUCAAAUUUCUCCAUUGCAGUUGUCCUUCUCUGUAUCCUCUCCAUCAGAAAUAUCCUAAUGGACUCUAACAUUGUGAUAAUUGACUGCUGCCUAGCUUCAAGUAUAUGACCAUUAAAACUUUCACACAAAUUAUUAACCAACAUAUCGCAUCGAGUAUGUUCUUAAAAAAAAGUCUUACACCAAUGACUGGGAUGUGGUGCUUUCUUCACCCAUUCAUAUGCUUCCUUGUCAAAUUUUUCCAGAUCUGCUGCUGCUUUCUUGAAUAGUCCCUCAGUAGUACUUGCUGCAAUGUUCCACAGUUUUGUCUUCAGGGCAAGUCCACGAUGUUUCUUCUUGAAGUUGUUAUAUAGGUACUGCACACAGUAUCUGUGCUCACUGUUUGGUAGUACCUCAGAUAAUGCUCGGUCAAGACCCUAUAAAUUAUUACAAACAAAAGGCAUUAGUAAAUUGAAACAGAUCCGUGUACAGUGCAUAUACAAAGGGAAGGAGUUAAUACCUUCUGCUGGUCAGAAACAAAGGUGUAGCUGUACCCAUUUUCAAUCUGCAAGUCAUUCUUCAGCAGCUCAAAAAACCAUUUCCACUGUUCAGUUGCUUCCCUCUCAACCACUGCCCAAGCAAUGGGCCACCAUCCAUUGUUGGGAUCUACUCCAAUAGCAGUCAACAGAUGUCCCCGAUAUUCAGCCUUUAUGUGGCAUCCAUCAACCCCAAUAAUGGGCCUACAACCGUCAAGAAAGCCUUGUUUUAAUGGUCCCAAACAGCAAUAAAGUCUCAUGAAUUUUGGGUUGCAUCCAGGUUGUCUGAAGGGAGUAAACAUAACUUCCAUUGUGGUAUUUGGGUGUGUCCUCUUAAUUUCUGCACAAUAUCUCCAUAUGUCCUUAUAUUGCUACUCUGCAUUCCCUUGAAUCUCCUUUUUAGCAAUUGUCCUUGCAUUGUAUGCCACCCAUUUUGAAAUUUUCGCUUUGAAGUCCUCAUCAACUAUUUGUUUUAAUAAUCUUGGAGGCAUUUCAACAUUACAUCUAAAUCUCUCCAUGUACUUGUUUGCAAGCCACUUAGCAGAAAUAUUCUUGUUCUUCCAUACAUGACUGCAGUUUGUGUGCUCAUUAUUCAUGCUCUUGACAACCAAAUCAGCUAUUCCAAGUUCCCUCUCAACUGAAGCAUAAACAAACCAUUGGCAAGGAGGUUUGCAUUUUGCUCUAAACCUUUUUUUUCAUUUGUGUAUGGCUUUACUGGUUUUCCUUUCAUGAUGGAAUAUGUUCUAACAGCUAAUCUUAGCUGUUCAGCUGACUCAAACUUCAUUCCUAUGUGAAACUCAAAAUUAGGGUCUUUUAGAUCUCUCUCCGGAUUGAAAUCAACAUACCUAUUCCUCCAGUCAUCAUCAUUCUCUUCAUCUGAGGAGCCAGCAUCACUAUGCAACUCAGUCACCACUGUGUCUUUAUUUAAUGCAUGGACAUCAUCUAAAUGAGGAGCUGCCUCUUCUCCUGAUGCUCUAUUGUUGUUUCUUCUCCUUCUAACUUGCUUCUUCCUCCGCGACUGUUGGUUUCCAGUUCCCACAUCCGUGGAUUGUUCUUCAUUUGUCUCAGGCUGCUGCUGAUGUUCAAAUUCAGUUUCAAGUCCUGAUUGUUGUGACCAUGGAUCCAUCCCAGCUGUUUGUUGUUGUCUGCCUAGCUCAUCUACAACUGAUUCUUGCUGUUGUGCAGCAUUAUUACAAUCAUCAUUAGAAUUGGGAUGUUGUGAAGAUCUAGGUUGCUCUGUAUUUGAAGAAUCCACACCAGAUUUUAGCCCCUCAACAAUCAAUUCUUCUAACAUUUCUUCAUCCCUACAGAAAUCCCUAUCAGCACUAAAGCGAUCACAGUCUCCAUCCGAAUCAGUAUCAGUCUCCACUUGGCCAUCUAUAUUUCCUCUAUCAUUUGCAUCCCCAUCAUCCCCAUUAUUCAAGGCAUUCUCUUUAGAAGAGUUCCCAACAUCUAUCUUGCCAAUUGAUCUUGUAAAUGGCACUAGUUCAAAUCCAGGUUCCCUAAUAACAUUUCCAUUUUCGUCAAGUUCCUCGAUGGUGACUGCGGCUUUUUUACUCAACUGUAGAUCAGAAGGAAGGGACUUUGUGGCCAUCAUCUUGAUUUCAUUCUUUGACUGGUGGUCACAGUACACCUCCAUGAUUUUAUGCUUAUAAGCCUAAUUGCAAAAACUGAUAAUGGCUUUAUCAGUAGAUAAUUCCUUCAACCCAUUUCGAAAAUCUUUUCCAGGCUCAACAUAGUAAUACACCAUACAUCCAUAAUGCCCUAAUUUAUCCACCAUGUAGUUUAUUUCAUGCACAGACAUUGUUUCCGCAUCACAUAAAUCAACAUAAUCUACAUGCCCAUCAAUGUAUCUGUAAUUUUGCCAAUUGAAUUUACCCCCAUGAUACAUUCGUAUGGUGAACAGAGAAGAACCUGGCACUGCAUGACAUGCGAUUAGUUAAAAAAAUUAAAAUUUUAGUCAAAACUAGUAAACCCAAAUUCAAUGAAUGAAUUAUUUAUUAACCCUUUUUUCCAGCAUUAAGAAUACUUUAAUCAGUGUACUUUGAAAUCUCUAUGCUUUAUUGCAAAAAGCCAAAACAACGAUAAAAUGUAGCCCAUACAUACAUGAAACACACAAUCUAUUCUGGGAUGUGGAUAACUAAACAAACUUAGGGAUUUUAAAACUUUACCGUAUGCAUCAGAUGGAUCAAAAUGCUGGCCCCUUGGUCUAAUCACCCACUUGGGCCACUCCAUCGUUCCACGAAAUGAAGAUCUUGUUUGUCAACCCGUUCUGCUGUCGCUCAAUCCCCCAAAAUUCUUCGUUGUUGCGUUUUUCUUUAAUUGUCAAUUGUUUGAUGUUUGGGUUUAGGCAAGGAAGAAGAAGAACAGAUGCAUGGGAGAGGAAGAAGAGGUGCAAGUGAUAUUUUCGACUUCCUAAAUUGACCCUACCUUUUGUAUUGGAAAUCGCGCGGACAGACACCUCUGCAAAGUUAACGACUAAAUUUAACAGAAUGGACUCGAGUCUACCUUUAAUACAGUUUGAUGGUCAAAACCAGCCUUUUAAUAGUUGAGUGACCAAAACUCGACGAUGGCAAAAGUUUAGUGGCCACUGGGAUAAUUUGCUCUUUAUUUGGUUCAUGGAUAUGUGAUCGGUAUUUGCCAAAUUUGUCAAACACAUGCCCAACUUUCUAUAGGGAAAUUUAGGAAUAAUUUUAGAAGCUUCCCCUAAAGUUUCUAAUAAUUUUACUAUCCUUUCCUAAAAUUUUAAAAAUAUUAUUAACCUCUUUUAAAACUAAUUUUCUUGUGACAAAUUACUAGGACCGUCAAUGACGCCGAACCAACUAGAGCUCAACCUAUUUGGCCCCAAAAAAGAUCCAUGAGUCUAAAGUAUAAUUGAAUCGGGCAAAGUUUUGAUCUAAAUAUUAGAUCCGGACAAAAUGUAAGUCAAAUUUGAGUCAUUCUAGGUUCAUGCCUGAUUAAAACUACACCCAUGUAUGAGUAUAAUUAUAUAUGUAAAAUAUAUAUGAUAAUAUAUAUAAUUUAUAAUUAUUUAUACUACAUAUACUACAUAUAAAUGCAGAGGAGGGUGUUUGGGGUAAACAAAAAUCUGUCACUUUAUAUACUUCAUGAACUACCCUUGAUGAUGAAGAAACUUUUGGUAUAAACAAAAAUUUAUCUUUCUUUGAUAGCUACCCACUACCAAUAUGAUUUUUACCAAAUAAUAUGUAUUUUUUCAUAUUCUAUUUUUCAACUUAUUUAGUAACUCUUAAUUUUAAUUAGCAACUACCAAUUAUGGUUCUGAAUAACUAUUAAAUAACUACUUUUUAUAACUUUUAUUAUUUUAAAAUUUUCACAUAUGUAUUUUCAAAAUAUAAAAUCAAUUUUCUUAAAAAUUAUUUUAAUAAAUAUACUCAAUAUAUUUUACAAAUACUUUUUCUAUUAGUUGCACACACAUUAGUAUGUGUCUUAAAUACUAGUACAUAUUGCGACAUAAAAUGUUAAUAAUUUAUAUGUAAAUUUGCAUUAAUUCAUAAUUAUAAAGUAUAUAUUAUAUAUAAUUAUGUAUUUAAUUAUAAGUUUGGGCCAAACCCGAUUUGAUUCUGAAACUCAUAUAAUAGUGUGAGUUGAGAUUAAACCUUUUUAAUAUAAACAAGAAUCCCAAAAGCUUGAAACCUGAAAAUUCAUAUAAUUUGUGAACUAAGUUUGGGCUUGCUAAAGUCCGAUUGACACCACUACAAAUUAUCCCAAUUCGUAAAAAAAUUAAUAACAAAAAAAUGUGCAUUCAUUUUUUUUGUUAUUAUUGGUUUGAAAUUAAUACUAAUAAAAAGCUAUUAUUCGUUUGAAAAGCUAUUCUUUUUUUUUUUAUUAUUCUUCUGUCCUGGAACUUGGAUAUUUGAGUAUAGUAACAUGUGUAUACUGGGGGAAGACCCUUCUGCUAUUUGUGGCAGCUGUUUCGGAAGAUGUAUCCCGAUGAUAAUUCUUCCCGAAGAAAAUGGCAUAGUGGAAUGAGGCCGUAGAGAAUUGUGCAUCGCCACAUCCGCUUUUGGAUGGGCAAAUGGUAAUUUUCACAAAGAUGCAUAUAAAAGAAUAAAAUAUCUUUAGUCAUUCUGACACCAGAAAAAAAAAUUUUCAAAACAAAAAUACUAUUUCGCCCAAAUGCGGCGAUUCUAAGUGCAGAAAACAAUCUCAUCGAACACUUUAAAUGAGAUAUUUUCUAAAUUUAGGAUUAUUUGUAGAAAUUUGUCCAAAUAUCCAUACAAAUUAAACUUGACUCUAACUCUAUGUCCUAAGCUCUAACAAUAUUUGAACUCUUAAAAGUUUUUGGUCCAAGGCUGCACUGCCAUGCUUGCGUCCAAGGCUGCACUGCCAUGCUUGCAUCAACAAAAUAUAUGUUUGGAAGCUCCAAAGUACCGUUUUGUAAAUUGAGUUCAUUGCAUUUAUCUCCCUAGAGGUUUAUCUAAAUCACAGCAAUAAAUCCAUAGUUUUUUUUAAGGGUAAAUAACCUUUUAUCUCUCUAUGAUUUGGUGCUUUACCACAUGACUCUCUUAUAGUUUAAAAAUCUAUAUAUACCACAUGACCUCCAUAUAGUUGAAAAACCUAUAUAUAAUCCUUUCGUGAUUUGGGUUAAAGUGAUACCAUUAGUUUUUCCAUUAAAACUAAUGGUCAAUAGUAAAAAGUCAAAAUCAAACUAAUAAAUUGACAAAUUCACUCUUUCACUACUUUUUUCGUUUUCUUUCUUUUUUUUUUUGUGGAAGCGAAGAGAUGAUUUGGAAACAUAUACUUUGGCCUAUAAAACCUUAAUUUUCUCCAAUUACAAAAGAGAUGAGAGGGAAAUAAAAAUAAAUGAAUAAGAAACAAAAAAGAUGGAAGGGAAAUAUAAAACAAAUAAAUAAGAAAGAAAAAAUACCAAAUCUUUUUUAUUACAAAUAUCAUUAUAGAUUUUUAAACCAAAUCUUUAAUGGUAUUUUCUAGUUCUUAUUUAUCUAUUUUGUAUUUCAAUUUCUUCCUUUUUAUGUUUGGAGGGGAAUAAAAAGAAGUAAUGAAAGGGUAAAUUUGUUAAGUUAUUAGUUUGAUUUUGACUUUUACUAUUAACCAUUUGUUUUAAUGGAAAAACAAACAAUUACAUAUUAACUCAAAUCAUGAGAGGGUUAUAUAUAGGUUUUUAAAUCAUAUGGGGGUUAUGUGGUAAAGUACAAAGGAUAAAAGUUAAUUUAUCCUUUUUCCAAAUCAGCCCAACAUUUUAAAUAGCCAAACAUUUGCCACUGCUCAAUUGCAUCAUUUGCAACAGAAGUUUUUGAAAUUAUCAAAAUACUGAUUUUCUAUCAUCCUUCUUCCAGCCAUUCUUUCAUCUUUCUAUAGAUUAAAGUUAGUGUAACCAAAACUCUAGUCAUAUGACAUCACUAAUAAUAGUAUAUUUCAUUGAGUGUAGUUUCUUGAACCUCCACUAUUAUAUUUUUUACAUUCCAAACUCUUUUCUAUUUCAACGUGCAAAUAAUCAAACUUCGUUUUCCAAAAAACAAAAGUAACUAUCAAUACUGAAUUCAAAUAUAAACAUAAAAUUUUAGGAUUUUUAUACAAAGACACACAUAUGAAAGUUAGAAGUAAAUAUCAAACAAAGACACUUUUCUUGGUUUAAGGAUAGGAAUUUAAUGUCAUGUUUUCUUAAAUUUAUUAUUACAUUUUUAAAAAUUUAAUGCUUUGUUAUGGAUAAAAAUCCGUAAAGUUUAGCUCAAUUUUAUUGUUCCUUACGAAAUUAGAUAUUUAAAUAAAAUAGAUAAUUUGUUGUAUGGAAACAAUGAAUUGGACCAGUGUGGUAGCGACUGAAAUAAGCCAUAUGCAGUUGAAAAAGAAAUUGUUUAUUUUCUUUUAAUCCAUAUUUAUUUUUUUGGAUAUAUUAAGGAGUUUUUUAAGAGUGGCUAUUCAAAGGGUUAAAACACAUUUUGGUCAAAUCUUAGACUCCUUUUUAUUUAGACAAACAUCAAGGGAGAUAAAUGCAGUUUCGCAGAGGGUAGUUUUGUCAUUUCACUACUUCUAAUUGGGUUUAGACACUGACUCAUAAGGGAUAAUUCGAAUUUAGUGAAACCGCAGAGUUUACUCAAUAAUACGGCCAAACCUUAGCGGAAGUACAUGCAUUAACCCUUUUUUAUUUAAAAAAAAAAGAGAUAGAGAGAAUUUUUAUUAAUCAGAUUGCUGAAAAUCGUUCAACAUUGGUUUCUUGACAAAAGCAAGAUGGCGGUAUAUUCUAUAAGGAAUCCACGAAAGCUGAAGAAUUUAGCUAUAGAAUUCAACAAAGCUACAGGAUUUUGGCAUAACAAGUCAAUUCAGGAGCUAUUGUUUUUGCCUCCAUUGUAUCCGAUUUACAUCCACAUCUGUAAUUCUAUAUAGUAUCAGACAAAACCUUAGGAAUAUCUUCUACUACUGGCCCCAUUGUAGAAAAAUCAUCAUCUUCACUAUUCAGCAAUUAAAUAACCGAUAAAGAGUCUCCUUCAAGUGUAAUAUUCGGAGUGAACAGAUUUUAUUGCUGAAUUAAUUGCCUCCUUUGUAGCAAUGGCUUCUUUCCUUCUUCGAUUCAACUGUCCCUUGGGAUAUCGUAGAGUUUAAUGCACCCUCAAAAUCAACAUUAAAUUGAUCCAUCGUACACUACCCCGCAAGAGGAACCUAGAGGUUCCACAUUGGCUUCUUUCAAAGCUACUAGGGAAUUAAUCACAAAGCGAACCAUUGAUAAAGGUUCUCCAUGCUUGCCAUCAAACAAAACCAAGUUCUGAUUGUUCCAAAUCUCAUCACAAAGAGUAGCAAACAGCUCCGAAUCCUCACUUGAAAAGAACUCACAAAAUUUCUGUAAUCCAAAGAUGAACACCAACUGAAUAGGUAUUUUCAUCAAUAUGACACCUUAAGUUUCAAACAAAUAGUGAUAUUAAAGGUUUUAGGAUUUAAAAAGCAAGGAAAUAGAAGGAUAAAAUGAGAUGUGAAUUAUAUAGACAAGUUACCUGUCAAACUAGGAAUUGUAAUUUUAAAAAAAAAACUACUUGAAAAAGCUAAUUAUUUAUUUUUCUUAUUCUUUUUCAUUUAAAAUGUGGGGUUUGUAUGAAAUUUUUGUGGCUCAAGUACUAUUACCACAUUUGAAUUGUAUUCAAUUGAUAAUAGUAAACAAAAUUAAUAUUCAAAUGUAAAGGACUAAAGUGAUAAAGUCACGAGUUAAAGGUCUAAAUAGAUAUUUUGAUAAAAGUUUGAGGACUUCUAAUAUACUGUAACUUAUCUGAAUGUAUAUCACUGGGAUUAGAGUUCUGUUUGCAUGUCAACAAAACAUUUUUUCAAAAUGAAAAUUAUGUGAGGCCUCUACAGUAGAAAAUCAAGCAAUUAAGAAUACUUACGUUACUACUUUGUAUCAUCUAUUUUUCGCCCCUUGAAUAAAGUUCUUUGCAUUCUUCUUGUUAUUGAAGAAGAUGAAACUAGUUAUCUAAAUCGAAAAAUAAAUUUUGGCUUCAAAUUUAAGGUACCAGUUAAACAUAGCAUAGAUUUUGUCAAAGAGUAACAUUAUACAAUAUCGUUAAAUUCAAACUGGAUAAAACUCGGUUAAACUACUAGGAUAGGGGUCAACUGAUCGGAUCAGUCAGAUGGUUCUGAAAAAAUCCACUGAAGUGAGUAUGAUAUUUUAAUUAUUUUAUAUUUUUAUAAGUUUCAAAAAUAUUAAAAUUAAGUUCUUAGUUAUAUUCGGCCAACCAUAAAAAUGUUACAAAAAAUUUAGGCUUGCAAUCAAAUAUACACCUAAAAAUUAUAUAUAAAAAUAUGAAUUCGUGUCUAAAUUAUGUACUUAAAAACUAAAUUAAAACAAAUCAUUCCCAAUUCGAGAUCUUUUUGCUAGGAAUAUGACUUUAUAAUGCAAGUUAGAAUCACUAAUGAUAAAUUGAUAAGAUGAUAUGGAUGAAAACCUCUUGAUUUAGAGAUCAUUGAGGGAAGCUAGUGAUUUUGAUGUUUACAUUAAAUGAGUGACAUUUUCUUAUUUCUAUUAAUAAAUGAAAGUUUUAUACUUUAGCUAACUCAAAUUAUGUUUCGGGAGAACAAGAAAGAAAAGUUUGAGAAUCGGGUCACUAAUUUGGCUUAUUUUUAAUGAUUUUGAUUGAUUUUUUAUCAAAGUAAUUUUAUGCUACAAACUACUUUCGAAAAAAGGUCGGUUCAUAUUCAGACAACAUUGACAUUAUAUGGAUAAAGCAUUUGUGAACAAACUUAUACCAAGACUAGUUGUUAGUUCAAGAGAGUUGGGACAGAUAAAUUUGUGCAAAAAUUAAUUAUCAAAGGGUAAUUACCAUUUCAACUUUUAUAAAAAAUGUCCAUGUUUAAGGAACAAUUGAAGGCACGUCAGUCAUCCAAUUAGUCUAAAGCUAAUAAUUAUAGAACAAACUACAUUGGCAUCAUAUUCUUGACGGGAAAGAACCUCAAGGGCUAUCUAAGCUGGGGUUUUGAUCGUAGAGCUGAGUCUUAAGUGCAACAUCAAAGAUUAUAUUUAACACUCAAUGAAAUAACCUCAUCGUAUUUUCCAAGUUUGAGAAAAAAGAAAUCAAUAAAUUUUGUUAGGGCAAGCAAUAGAAAUUAAAAAAUAGAUUUAAUUAGCUUUUCUAAGUUAUUUAUUAUUCAAUUCUCUAGCAUACAUAUAUUGUAAUUUCGAUAUAACUACUGUAUCUCAUUUCAUCUUGAAACUUUUAAUACCACUAUUUAAAUUUUAAGAAACCAUCUUAGUUGAAACUUCAACAUUAUGAUCAACAAUGCCAAGUCAAAACUUCGCCAUUAUGAUCGAGUCAUAAUUAAUGAUCAACAAUGCCAAGUUACAGCAAUUUGAUUUUGAACUUCGCCAUCCUGAUUUUUUGUCAAUUAUCCUAAAUUUGCACAAAAUCCGAAGCAUCGAGGACCACAUUUGCAAAAGUCAAAAGUUUAGGGACUACAUAAUUCAUAAAAUGGAUCGAUUAUAGCGUAAUUUCCAGCAACUUGGGGGUCUUUUGUUUUGCUGGCUGUAGUCCAUUGGGUGCACGUGAACUUCGUGGGAAAUUGGUGGCGUUCAAUUAUUUAACCUUUGCAAGUUGGUGAGUGGUCUGGCAGCUCUUUUGAUUUUUUUUUUUUUUUUGCUGUAGAUAGGAUUCGAAUAUCCAACCUGCAGUUCAAAAAAAGGGACUUUAGUCCCUAUUUGAUAGCCACUACCUUUCCAAGUUGGCAAGCUGUCUUGUUUACAUAAAGGUUGGGAUUUUACUGUGGAAUAUUUGAAUAUCGAACGAUAACAGUACAAUACUAAAAAAAAAUUUACUGCUAUUGUCUAUUGUGGAUAAUUCAAGCAACUAUUUUAGAAAAUGACUCUCAUAAUUAUGGUCAAGCCAAGCCAAUCCAACAGUGCUCCCAAGCUCGAAAAUACAGCAAAAGGUAAAAUGAUUUGAAACCGGAUCGACAAGUGAAUUGGACGAGCUUCCUAUUUCUGGCUCAAUCAAUUCAACCAGUUCAACUCCGAUUUAAUGAUUUUAUAAAUUUUUAAUUAUAUUAACAUUAAAUAACUUGAAUAAUAUUAAUAUAUGAAAAAUAAUGAAAAAUCGGUCCAAAGGCCGGCUGUUUACUGAUCCAAUAGUGCUCCCAAGCAUGAAAAUAUAGCAAAAGGCAAUAUUUUGAAAUUGGGACCUACAAGUGAACUGGAUGAAUUUUUUAUUCAAUUAAUUUUGCGGUUCAAUCUCUGUUUAGUGAUUUUAUUAUUAUUUUUGUUUAUUUUAAAAUUAAAUUUUUUGGAUAAAAUUAAUAUAUGAGCUAGAAAUAAAAUUUUUGUGUAAAACCAGUUCAAAGACCUUUUUUUUCUUAUCGAUUUUGAUUCAUCUGAUCGAUUUUUGAUCGAAUUUGAUUGAUUCAAUUGAGUUUCUGGGUUAAAUAUAGAAAAACAAAUUAUUCGGGAAAUCACUAAACCUUUUUAAUAGUCAAGAUUUAGCCACUCAAUUAUUAAUAGUUUGUUGUUUUCCAUUAAACUGUUAAUAAUAUAAAUUUUGUGCCAUUUCGUCUAAUUUCACUAUUGACUCUGUUAGAUCUAAGGGUCUAUACAAGAUAUAUUAGUAAUGGUUAAAUCUGGUAGAGUUAAUGACAAAUUAGAUGGAAUUGCCUAAAAUUUAAAUUUUUAAUAAUUUAGUAGGUAAAAAUUACUAUUUAUAGCUUAAUGACUAAAACUUGACUAUUCAAAAAAUUUAAUGGUCGCAGGGAUAAUUUGCUCUAAGAUCUAAGCCAUGGUUGGUUUGACGGUGGCAAAAGGUACACAUUCCACGUUUUUCGGUAAAACGCGGUAUGGUAAAUAUUCUUAGAACUAUUGCCGUAAAUCUGAAAUCACCUAUAAAAGGGUCCAUCUUUGGGCAACCAAUUUCACCCCCAAAUAAAUCCGCGAAACUAACUGAGAAAAAGAAAAAGAAAAUGGCUGCCAGUUUACGACCACUGUUCUUAGCAAUAAUAUCCCUGCUGAUGAUAUCUUCAUUGACCAGGUCCUCAGAAGGCGCUGGAAUCGCAGUCUACUGGGGCCAAAAUGGCAAUGAAGGAAGCCUGGAAGAGGCCUGCCGUAGUGGCAACUAUGACUAUGUAAAUAUUGCCUUUCUGGUAUCCUUUGGCAGUGGCCAAACACCGGAACUGAACUUAGCUGGCCACUGUAUCCCGAGCCCAUGCACCUUCCUGAGUUCUCAGAUAGAGGUUUGCCAGAGCCUGGGCAUCAAAGUGCUCCUUUCUCUUGGUGGAGGUGGUGCCGGGGCAGGGAGAGGGCCAAUCCUGGCUUCUCCCGAGGAUGCUCGCGAUGUUGCAGCCUACCUCUGGAACAAUUACUUGGGCGGUCAAUCAGACUCUCGCCCACUUGGUGCUGCUGUUUUAGAUGGUAUAGACUUUGACAUCGAAUAUGGAUCGAACCUGUACUGGGAUGAUCUCGCCCGGGCACUCUCGGGAUACAGCACAGCAGAGAGAAAGGUGUACUUAUCUGCAGCACCACAAUGCUUCUUUCCUGACUAUUAUCUUGAUGCUGCUAUCAGAACUGGCCUCUUUGAUUUCGUCUGGGUGCAGUUUUACAACAAUCCGCUUUGUCAGUAUGGUACAACCACAGGCAAUGCCGAUAACCUCUUGAACAGUUGGAGUAUUUGGUCUGCCUCUUCAGGCGUUAAUAAAUUAUUCCUGGGAUUACCUGCAGCCGAAGCGGCCGCACCUGGUGGCGGUUACAUCCCACCUGAAGUGCUAGUUGAACAGAUUCUUCCCGUUGUGCAGAGCUAUCCCAAGUAUGGAGGGGUCAUGCUUUGGAGCAGAUACUAUGACCAAAACUACAGUACAGCAAUCAGGCCUUAUGUUAACGGUGAUCCUCUGACUUAUACAACCAAGUCCGUGAAAAAAUCCCAUGCUGUAGCAUGAGUUCCUCUCAUUAUCUGCCGCGAGAUGAAAUGUAGUCCUGGCUGCUUAUGCCAGAGAUCAAUCUACUAAUGAAUAAUGGGCUAUGAGUUCCCAAAUCGAUUAAAAUGUUCAGUAAAUUUCUUCCCGUUUUAACCGCGCUCUCUCUCUCGAAUGAAGGGGUACAAGAUCUAGUUUGAAGAACCAGUUGCACCUUCUCUUUUUUUUAUUUUUUAUACAACAUCUUCUAGAUAAUAAUUUUUCGAUAAUAUUCAAACCACAUUGAAAUUGAAAAAGAAAAUGUUAAUUUGCAAUUGAAGUUUGAGGAACAGUAUCUAUUUCCCCUCAUAUUUCAAUGCAAGUCACUUUGAGACUUAUGACAAUUUCACUAACCUCCCAUCAAAUCUGAAAAACAACGAUUACCUCCCCUCUUCUUAGAUUUGGUCUGAUGAUUUCAGUGUAUUUGGUAUACAUUCCUACAACAAAGGGAUAACAAUCGAAGGGCUUUCGUUUUUAUUAAUUUUUUGGAGUACAAAUUAAUUUCUCAUUAGCAUGUUAUGAAACAUAUGAUAUUCUUGUUCUCAACAAUUUCUUUCUACUAAAAAAUGAAUAGAGAGAAGGGGGAAAAAAGUAAGCCUCAGCUGAUUAAAUUAUGUCCACGCAUAAAUUGUCACAAAGGUUUCUUAAGGGAAAAAGGGUUGGGGGUGGGGGCGGGGGUUCCCUGGGUUAAUUUAACCAAAAUUGAUUAAAGUAAUGAGGUUGGCUUGAUUAAAUUAUGUUUAUCACAAUUGGGUCAUUUCUUAAAAUAUUGACCUUAACAAAGAUGAUCCAUUUCUUGAAAAUGGGCUUUCCUAGAAAAUUUGCGUUCUAGAAAAGCCAUUCUUGGGCAGAUGAUGAAUAAGACUUCGUAUUUUGGGCUGAAUGAAAUGGAUGACACGCCAAAUUUGAUUAUUUAGCCACCGAAUAAAUAUGUUGGGUUUUAUAAAUCACUAUAAGUAAUGGUGUCUUAACUUUGGUUAAUUAGUUAAUUUAGAACACGCAUGGUGAAAUUGGGCUGACAAAGAAAAUAUUAAAGGAUGAUAACGUUUAUAGUGAGCCAAGUACAAUUAUUAUGAAACAAAAUGCCUCACAUUCACAAAUCCCUCAAAUGCUAUCUUUCAAUGCCAAUAAACUACUGGUAUCCAACUCCAAGAUCGCUCCAAAAUUCUAGCCCAAUCAGACACUGUUCCCUUGUUCACAAAAUAAACUUUUACCUCUCUAUGAUUUGUUGCUUUACCACGUGAUUUCCUUAUUAGUUUAAAAACUCAUAUAUACCACAUGACCCCUUAUUGUUUAAAAACCUAUAUAUAAUUCCUUCAUGGUUUGGGUUAAAGUGUUACCAUUGAUUUUUUUCAUUAAAACUAAUGGUCAAUAGUAAAGCGUUAAAAUUAAACUAAUAAAUUGACAAAUUCACUCUUUCACUAUUUUUUUUCCAUUUUCUUUCUUUUUUUUGGUGGAAGAGAAGAGAUGAUUUGGAAACAUAUACUUUGGCCUAUAAAACCUUAAUUUUCUCCAAUUACAAAAGAGAUGGGAGGGAAAUAAAAAAGUAAAUGAGUAAGAAACAAAAAAGAUGGAAGGGAAAUAUAAAACAAAUAAAUAAGAAACAAAAAAUAUCAAAUCUUUUUUUAUCACUAAUAUCAUUACAGAUUUUUAAACCAAAUCUUUGAUGGUAUUUUCUUAUUCUUAUUUAUCUAUUUUUUAUUUUAAUUUCUUCUUUUUUAUGUUUAGAGGGGUAUAAAAGGAAUUAAUGAAAGGGUAAAUUUCUUAAUUUAUUAGUUUAAUUUUGACUUUUACUAUUAACCAUUUGUUUUAAUGAAAAAACUAACAGUCACAUAUUAUCUAAAAUCAUGAGAGGGUUAUAUACAAGUUUUCAAAUCAUAUGGGGUUUACGUGGUAAAGUACCAAACUACAAGGGGUAAAAGGUAAUUUAUCCUUUUUCCAAAUCAGCCCAACAUUUUAAAUUGCCAAACAUUUGCCACUGCUCAAUUGCAUCACUUGCAACAGAAUUUUUUGAAAUUAUCAAAAUACUUGUUUUCUAUCAUCACCAAAUUCAUCCAAACUCACAAAAUUUAUAAAAUAAAAAUCCCAUACAUGUUUAAUCCUUGACAAAUAGCAAUCCAAACAAGGUAACAAGUUUAUGUUCAAUUCUUGAUAAAUAUCAAUCUAAAUAAAGUAACAUGUUCAAUUUCUAAACCAAAGUACUAUCUAAGCCAUUAUUCACCUUCAUCUUCAUUAUCCGUAUCUCCGAUUUCUUAACUUUCAAAAUCGAUAUCAUCAAGAUCAUCCUCAUCAUCAAGUUGCACAAUAUUUGUGUCGUUCUUACCUAAAAAUCAUUUAAAUACUCAUAAAUAAAAAUAUUCAAAAAUAGACAAGAACUAAAAAGAAACUUAGAUAAAGUUAGCAAAUGCAUUCCAAAAUUCAUCUAUGUAGCUAAUAAUGGUCCAUUGAUUACAUGCUUGGCAACCUGAAUCUUGAUUGGAGGCAUUCAAAGCUCAAGUAAUUGAUAUUAAAUACAUUUUAAAAGCAUAUAAUGCUUUCCUUGACUAUCAUUUUAAAAGAAUUGCCCAAACUCCAUUUAUUAGUCAUACGAGUUUUCCCAUCUUCUAAUCUACUAUUUUCACUUGUCAUCUGAUCAUAUUAUAGGUUAAGCCCAUCUUCCGGAUUUCCAUGAAUACAAUGGUCUAAAAUCAAAGCAUCCCAGGAAACUAAACUCUUCAUCGGCAUCCUUCCACAUCUAUUAUACAUAUCAAUUAAGGACGACGUGUUAACAAUCAAACUCAAAUUUCCAGAUUCUGUAAUAAGAGUUCCGUGAAUUGAUUUUCCUUGUUUCAAUCUGGCAGACCUACCACAAGCAGUAAGCACAUUCACCAUAAUUGUUUCAUUGCCUUAAAUCCGAGCUUCACCAUUUCCCUGAAUAACUUCAACCCAUUUCCAGGAUUCCCCAGAUCCAAAUAACCUGUCCUCAUUAUAUUCCAUGAAACAAUAUAUUCCACAAAACAACACCACAGUUUGUUUUCUCUAAAUCAACAGAUACCAUUUUUUUUCUAGUGUCAUUUUGAGUUUAUCAACAACUUGUCUCUUUAAAUAAAAAAAUUAAAAACACCACUACCAACUGAAAAACUUUAUUCACACCCGUAACAUCCAAAUCCCAAAUACCCAGCAUAAUGAAUCAAAAAAAAAAAAUACUGAAAUUUCAGUCUGAUUGUUCCAAAUCUCAUCACAAAGAGUAGCAAAAAGCUCCGAAUCCUCACUUGAAAAGACUUCACAAAAUUGAAAGAUGAUCACCAACUGAAUAAGUAUUUUCAUCAAUGUGAUACCUUAAGUUUCAAAUAGUGGUAUUAAAGGUUUUAGGAUUUAAGAAGCGUGGAGAGAGAAGGAUAAAAUGAGAUGUGAAUUAUAUAGACAAGUUACAUGUCAAACUAGGAAUUGUAAUUAAAAAAACAAAUUGAAAAAGCUUAUUAUUUAUUUUUCUUAUUCUUUUUGCUUUAAAAUGUGGGUUUUAUAUGAAAUUUUUGUCAGUCAAGUACUAUUACCACAUUUGAAUUGUAUUCAAUUGAUAAUAAUAAACUAAAUUAAUAUUCUAAUGUAAAGGACUAAAGUGAUAAAGUUAAAAGUUAAAGGUCUAAAUAGAUAUUUUGAUAAAAGUUUGAGGACUUCUAAUAUACUGUGACUUAUCUGAAUUUAUAUCAAUGGGAUUAGAGUUCUGUUUGCAUGUCAACAAAACAUUUUUCCAAAAUGAAAAUUAUGUGAGGCCUCUACAGUGGAAAGUCAAGCAAUUAAGAAUACUUUUGUUACUACUUUGUAUCAUCUAUUUUUCCCCCCUUGAAUAAGUUCUUUGCAUUCUUGUUGUUAUUGAAGAAGAUGAAACUAGUUAGCUAAAUUAAAAAAUAAAUUUUGGCUUCAAAUUUAAGGUACCAGUUAAAUAGAGCAUAGAUUUUGUCAAAGAGUAACAUUAUACAAUAUUGUUGAAUUCAGACACUUAUCGGAUCGGCCAGACCAUUCUAAAAAAUUCUCUGAAGUUAGCAUGAUGUCAUAAUUAUUUUAUAUUUUUAUAAGUUUUAGAAAUAUUGAAAUUAAAUUUUUUGUUAUACUUGGCCAACCAUAAAAAUGUUACAAAAAUAUUAGGCUUGUAAUCAAAUAUACAACUAAAAAUUAUAUAUAAAUAUAUGAAUUCGUGUCUAAAAUAUUUCCAUUCUCUAAAAUUACUUAAAAACUAAAUUAAAACAAAUCAUACCCAAUUCGAGAUCUUUUUGCUUGGAAUAUGACUUUAUAAUACAGGAAUCACUAAUGAUAAAUUGAUAAGAUGAUAAGGAUGAAAACUUCUUCAUUUAGAGAUCAUUGAGGGAAGCGAGUGAUUUUAAUGUUUAUACUAAGUUAGUGGCAUUUUCUUAUUUCUAUUAAUAAAUAAAAGUUUUACACUUUAAGUAACUCAAAUUAUGUUUCAGGGGAACAAGAGAGAAAAGUUUGAGAAUUGAGUCAAAUAGUUGAAUCGAAUCACUAGUUUGGCUGAUUUUGAUAGUUUUGAUUAAUUUUUGACUAAAAUGAUUUUGUGCUACUAACUACCUUCGGAAAAAAGUAGAUUCAUAUUCAGACUGAUCGGUUUGGUUUGGGACAACACUGACAUUAUAUGGAUAAAGCAUUUGUGAACAAACUUAUACCAAGACUAGUUGUUAGUUCAAGAGAGUUGGGACUGAUAAAUUUUCAACAAGUCUAUAAUUUGUGCAAAAAUUAAUUAUUCAAAGGGUAAUUACCAUUUCAACUUUUAUAAAAAAAAUGUCCAUGUUUAAGGAACAAUUGAAGGCACGUCAGUCAUCCAAUUAGUCUAAAGCUAAUAAUUAUAGAACAAACUACAUUGGCAUCGUAUUCUUGACGGGGAAAGAACCUCAGGGGCUGUCGAAGCUGGGGUUUCGAUCGUAGAGCUGGUUCUUAAGUGCGACAUCGACGACUAUAUUUAAUAGUCAAUGAAAUAACCGCAACCUAUUUUCCAAGUUUGAGAAAAAGAAAUCAAUAAAUUUUGUUAGGGCAAGCAAUAAAAAAAUAAAAAAAGAUUUAAUACGCUUUUCUAAGAUAUUUAUUAUUCAAUUCUUUAGCAUACAUAUAUUGUAAUUUUGAUAUAAUUGUAUCUCAUUUCAUCUUAAAGCUUUUAAAUUUUAAGAAACCAUCUUAACUGAAACUUCAACAUUAUGAUCAACAAGGCCAAGUCAAAACUUCACCAUUUUGAUCAAGUCAUAAUGAUCAACUAUGCCAAGUUGCAGCAAUUUGAUUUUGAACUUCGCCACCCUGAUUUUUUGUCAAUUAUCCUAAGGGUAUGUUUGGUUCCCUAUGUAAUUGGGAUUUAGAAUUAGAAUUGGGGCUCCAAUUCUAAUUCUGUUGUUUGGAUUCUGCUUCACUUGAAGAAUAAGAAUUCAAUCUGAAUUCUAUAGGGGUCCAAUUCCAUAAAUUGAAUUCUUUAUUGGACCAAAAGAAUCCUAAUUCCAAUUCCACAACUAAACCCUAAGAAACGGAUCUACACGCAGAUCUAAUAUGGGUAAAAAAUUAAAAGCGGGUCAAGUAUUCAAGCAUCUCUCUCUCCCAUUCUACUCACAAUGGAUCUUCUAUCCCACACCCUGUGUUGGAUCUUAAGGAAACAAAAAAGAACUAAAAUAUGAUAUUUAUGAAGGAGAAAUAGUAAUCUAUAUCUAUAUAAAUUUGAGAAGGGAUUUUUAGCAACAAGCCUCAUAUAUCUUCCCAUUACCAAUUCCAUUUUUCUAGCAUUUCACAUUUAAUUUAAUUUAUAAAAUAUAUUUCUCUCAACUUCCACAUCUACUCUUCACAUUUGAAAUUAUUGGUUAGUUUUUAAAAUCAUUUCAUUUCAAAUUGUUGAUUGAUGUGCAUGUUAUCUUAUUUGAACUUCAACCCAUCACGUUUUCGAUUGCCUUGCGUUAUUUAUGGUUCUAUAGCAAUUAAAACUUCUAUAAGAUCAUAAGAAGAGAUAACAAAUAUAACAUCCUUUCAUGCUUUCUUAUUAAUUUAAAUAAGUAAGAUUGUUUACACUCCAUUUUUGUUAUUCACACUUCAAUAAUCAUUUUGAUCAUAUCAUUUUCAGUAAUUAGACUAUAUGAUAAAACAAAUGGUGGAAUUGCAAAUAAUAAAAAAUUGAGUGCAAAUAACAUUUUCUUAAGUAAGAAGUGGCUUACAUGCCUUUCUAAUUAAAAAAGUAGUGGCUCCGCUUACAUAGGAAUUUGGUUUGAAGUUUAUUAGUAGGAGGGUAAAUAAAAAGAAAACAUUGCCAAACUUAGUAAAAGUAAAAAAGUAAAUGAUAAUAUUUUAUCUUUAAACUUAGUAAUCCUAAGUAAAAGGGCAAAAUUAAAUAGAAAACAAAAAGGAAAUAAUGUCGUGGAUUUAAAAAAUCAAGAAUGGUACCAUUCAUGAAAUCCAUAUUAUGAAAUCACUAAAUAAAAAAUAAAGUACUACUAGCCUUUUAACGUGGAAACUUUUUUUUUGAAAUAUUCAUUUUUGAUAAAAAAUAAUGAUAAUAACAACACCAAUUCAACCAAAAAUUUUUUAAAAAGUAAUAUUAUAGUUUAAGAGAAAGAUAUAGAACAUUCAACCCUAAAAUACUACUUAAUUUGUAUAUAUCUGGCCCAAAUUUGACAAUAAAUUUGAAUAAGAGUGCAAAACCCAAACAUUAAGGAUAACUUUUGCUAUCAUUAAUUAUUUUAUGUAUUCUUAUUGCUGUCUUCAUAUGUAAAUAUGUAUUUGGUAUGUUAAUAUAUAUAUAUAUAUAUAUAUAUAUAUUGAUUGUAGUACUUGAGGAUAUUAUAGAUAUUAUCAGUUUUUCAUUUCCAUUUUUAGAUACUAAUAAUUGCAACCAUUGUAAUUAAUUUUUAAUUUUAUAUUUUCAUUAUGAUAGGUAAAGUUAAAUAUAUUGGGUCGCAGGGAUAUGAAUUUAGAGCUUAGGUAUAGGGGGAGGAGCGAGGGAAAAAAAUGGUGAGAUGUUGAAAAGUAGCAGGAAAGGUUGAAGAAGAAAUAAGGGUUACAAGGAUAGGCGGAGAAGGGAGAGAAGAAGAAAGGGGAUUGUAGGGAUAUGACAGAGAUGACAAAAAUAAUAAUAAUAAUAAUAGAGAGGGUGGUAUCAUGAUAGAAGAUAUGAAAGUGGUAGGAGGCAUCUGAUGACUAGUUGGCGUAUAAGAGAAGAGGGAAAUGAUGGUGAUUUUUAAUAAUUUUGAGAACUUUAAAAACAUAUAUUACGGAGAAUUUUUUUAAAUUAUACAUUAAAGUUUAGGAAAAAUGCUAAUCUAAAUGUAGUCAACAAUUUUAGGGGUACAAGAUACAAGAAAGAUUUUUUUUUCUAAAAAUGGAAGAAAAUAAAUUGGUUAUAAUUUAUUUUUUUUAUAUUAUAAGUUUUGAUAUAUGGGUAUAACAUAAUAUGUUUUGUCGGAUAUUGAUAAAUUGAUUCUUUUUUAUAAAACUCUUUUCACCUUACCACCCAACCUAACCCUCUCCUUAAAUGCGUUAACAAUUCUUUUAUCAUUUAAAUCAUUAUAUAUUAAAUUUUUUUUCAAGAUAUUAAGCAUACACUUCUUUAAAAUUUUUAGUCUAUAUAUAUAUACUUAUUAUUUUGUACCACAAUAUAAAUAUAUAAAAUAUUAUUUUGAUUUAAAAUAUAACCCCGUGCAUAGCACGGGUCAAAAUACUAGUAUAAUAAAAAGUGGGAUAGAGAGUUGCACAGGGUGUGAGACAGAAGAUUUGUUGCGCAUUCUAAUUCACCAUUUUUUCUCAGCUGCAAGUGCUCCUGCUCUCCACCAUCGCUUCUACCUCCGCCCUAACAUUUUGCCGCUUUCGCCACCGUUUCCCCCAUCGCUCUUCGUUUCAGCCAUCCCUCUUCCCUUCGCCACUCCUGCCAUGCAUCCACCCAUCACCUUGCCAAUCGCAAGACUAAUCCGAGUGCUCUCUCCUUCCCCCUGCUUAAUUUUCUUGAACUGGGUUCUUCAGUCUUGAAGGUAAUAUCUCCUAAGAAUUUGCACUGAAAUUUGACGUUUUCUUACAAAGCACUGCCUAACUCUUGAGUGCCAGAUAUUAAUUCUAGUAAUGGUUCUUGACUUUGGUUUUACAGCCCAGCAAUGGCUCAGAACCUACAGUUGGAAAGACCCUUCUUGAGGACACAGGUCUAUUUUUUUACAGAAACCUGGUACUUGAUUGGUGUAUGAGCUCUUUUAGCAUUUUCUCUGCUGUUCAAUAUUCUUUUUGUUGAAGUAUUGACAUUUUUAAAGCGUAAGCCCCACGUACAACCUUGUUAUCAUGCAAUUUUGGUUUCUAAUAUACUAUAUAGUAAAGAAGUCCAUGUCUUAAUUCCGUGGUGUCAACUUAACGUCAGCUCUAGGAGAUAAUAAAGCUGUUAUUCUUGAGGAUGAUGAGCAAAACAUGGAUAGACGGCAAGUUGCAUCACAUCCUGGAGGUUUGUGGUCUAUUCAACUCCAGCUUUUUGCAUAUGCAACUCAAAGAUAAAUACUCUGUGUCCCUUGAUAAAAUGAGUUCAGACUUUCGACAAGGUUUGAAACGUGAUAUAUACAUUUUCCCAAAAUCCAAUAUAAAGUUUAGUACUCAAUUAGCACUUAAAUUUAAUGGAUUCUAAAAGCACAAAAGGAGGAAGAAAUAAAGAAUCUAAAAUGCACAAAAGGAGGGGGAAAAUGGAUGGAGAAAGAAUCUACCGACAGAAAGAAAAUGGAGUAAAGAAAAUUGAGGUUAUUGACAUUCAACAAGGGAACUUAUUUCAUCCUAAAGCUGCAUUCCGGUGAUUUAAUUACUACUACUGCUGAAGUCUUUAGUAGUGGAUCGAUGCAAUUUUAGUCAAGUAAAUGAACUUGUAUUUGUCACGGUUGAUGGAUUCAAAUAAGCUGUGGUGUGAUUGUUCUCAACAAGACCACAAUUUCUUCUUUGCAUACUCAACCACAUGCACAUGAUUACUUUUGGGCAUAACUUUUAACAACAAUCAACUAACAUAUAAAAGGGAAUUAGUCAAUUGCUUAUGGAAUCAAGUUGAUUGCUGACACAUUUUCCUUUUCUAUGAUAAAGCUUAAAAUCAUUACUCUCUAACUUAUGUUAACAAUAUGGUGGUUUAAUAUGAUGGCCACAGUCAAUUGCUUAAAAGUUUCAGGUUUUUAUUCUUGUUCACACAUAUCUAGUAUGGCUAAAUCUAAAUCUAAAUCCUCAUUUCUAAGUAAUUUAUGUGGUAAACAGAAAGGUUUAACAAUAUAGAUGGGCUAAAAUAUCUUUGACUCAAGUUGAUCGUUGACUCAACUAAGCAAAGAAUCAACUCUGUUCUAUGUAUCCUAGCUAUGAGAUCUACAGCUUCAACAAAUUGAACCUGGUCAACUUAAAGCACCUUAGCACUUUCUACCGUGAUUGUAGGACUAACAUGUUUUGUUUAAGAAUAGCCUCCAAAAGCUUGGCCGUUAGUCGAACCAGUUUACCUGCUGUUAAUGUAGUUUUUCAAGCAGGGAUCAACAAUUACAUGCUUUAGUUUUCUUUUAACAAAAAAGAAAGAUUUUAAUGUUUGAGCCAUAAGUGAUUUAAUCACAUGUUAGUGCAUUACUAAUCCAAUUAGUGACCUCUGGUUUUAGUUUUUUGAUGCCACAACAUAGUUAUUAUAUUAAAAAAGAGCCCUUAUGAUAAAUAUCACCUAACACAUAUAUUUUGACACAAUAUGUCUUGAUCGUAGGUGCACCACUAACUUUAUUAAGUAUGCUACAAGUGAGUAAUAUUAUAAACUAGAAAUUGAUGAUGAUCAGUCAAUAAGUCUGUCAUUAAGUCUAUAACAUGAAUCUUAUUGUUAGUCACCGUUUACUUACUAUCUAUGAUAACUAUCCUAUUUUGUUUAAAUUGAUCUAUAGCUAUAGCUAAGUUGUGCUGAAACUAGUUAGAAUGAUUAUGGACCUAUAAUAUAAUUUCAUGUGGACACAACAAUAACCCGCUUAUUUCUAUACUAUUAGUCUAUUCUUGUCUAGCUUGAAAAUCAUCUUAUACAUGUAAUUAUCACUAAUUACUAGUUUAUAAACCGAUCAACUUGUCAACAUAAACCCUGAUCUUGUUGGUAUCAAUUUGCAGGAACCAGUCAUGGACUAAAAGCCGCUUCAAAUUGCUUUAUGUUUUCUUGGUGAUUAAUAUGAUAUUCAUCCAUUUCUUUGAAAAAAAGAAAAGUUAUCCAUUUCGUACUAAUACUUGAUAUGGUGAUUCUGAAUUGCAGAAUUUGGAUAUUGACAUGGAUAAAGAAGGAGAUGAGUAAAAAGCAAAAAAGAGAGAAGUGAUAGUUGCAAAUUAUAUGAUAACAGUAACCGCAUUAGUAGUUUGGUGGCAUGAGAAACAUAUAGUAAAGAAGCCUUAUUUUGACUUUAAAGUAGCACCUGAAAUAUAUCAAAUGCGUCUUUACUAUGGAAACAGCAGAGUUUGUGUAGAACAACUUCGACUCAAUAAUUGUUUUACUGUUUUAUGUACAAAUUUAAGAGAGCAUUGUGGGUUGAGGGAUACUAGAAAUAUUAUUGUUGAAGAAGUAGUUGCAAUAUUUCUCUAUGUUCUUGCUCAUAACUUUAAGAAUCGCAUUGUCAAUUUUAAUUUCAUAAGAUCAGGUGAGACAGUUAGUCAAUACUUUAAUAUAGUUCUUAACUUUAAAAAAAGUAUCAAGGCUUUAACUUGAUAAAUAUUAACUACUUUUUAAGUUAGAAUAUAUAAUUAUUUUUUAUUUAAUAUAAUUUAAUUAAGAAAAAAGAAACAAGAAUAAUAUUUUUUUUUGCAGAAAAGGAACUAAUUUUUUUUUCUAAUUAUUUUUUAAAGCUUUAGUAACAAUUAGUUAAAUGCAAGAAAAAAUAAAUUAUUAAAGGCAUUAAUUGGUUUUUUCCUUAAAGCUUUAGUAACAAUUACCUAUAUGUUAAAAAAUUAUUAUAUAGUAAAAAAAAAAGAAAUUUUUUAUGAAAGGAAAUGUUAGUUGGAAACAAUUCUAAUUCUUAACGAAUUCUUCUCCCAUCCAAAUAAAGAAUUUGAAAUUCUGAAUGAAUUCUGUAUCAAUGUUAUGCAUUUCCCAAACAAAAGAAUUCCAAUAUUUUGGAAUUCCAAUUCUGUAGAACCAAACGUACCCUAAAUUUACACAAAAUUCGUAGCAUCGGGGACCACAUUUGCAAAAGUCAAAAGUUUGGGGACUACAUAAGUUAUAAAAUGGAUCGAUUAUAGCGUAAUUUCCAGCAACAUGGGGGUCUUUUGUUUUGUUGGGUGUAGUCCAUUGGGUUGCCCGUGAACCGCGUGGGAAAUUGUUCAAUUAUUUAACCUUUGCAAAUUGGUGGGUGCCCCGCCACCUCUUUCAAUUUUUUUUUUUUAAUAUAAGUAGGAUCCGAAUCUCUAAUUUACAGCUCAAAAGAGAGACUUUAAUCUUUUUUAAAUGGCCACUACCUUUGCAAGUUGGCAAGCUAUCCUGUUUACAUAAAGGUUGGGAUUUUACUGUGGAAUAUGUGUUGGCAGAUCCAGGCGUGAAUAAGUUAUUUAACAGCUGAAUAUUGGAAGAUAACAUUACAAUAGUCAAAAAAAAAUUUACUGCUAUUGUCUAUUGUGCAUCAUCCUGGAAAAUUCAAGCAACUAUUUUAGAAAAUGACUCUCAUAAUUAUGGUCAAGCCAAUCCAACAGUGCUACCAAGCUCGAAAAUACAGCAAAAGGUAAAAUGCUUUGAAACCGGAUCGACAAGUGAAUUGGAUGAGCUUCCUAUUUAUGGCUCAAUCAAUUCAACCUGUUAAACUCCGAUUUAAUGAUUUUAUAAAAUUUUAAUUAUAUUAACGUUAAAUAAUUUGAAUAACAUUAAUGUAUAAAAAAUAAUGAAAAAUCGGUCCAAAGGCCGGUUUUUUAACUGAUCCAAUAGUGCUCCCAAGCUUGAAAAUAUAGCAAAAGGCAAUAUUUUGAAAUUGGGGCCUACAAGUGAACUGGAUGAAUUUUUUAUUCAAUUAAUUUUGCGGUUCAAUCUCUGUUUAGUGAUUUUAUUAUUUUUUUGUUUAUUUUAAAAUUAAAUUUUUUGGAUAAAAUUAAUAUAUGAGCUAGAAAUAAAAUUUUUGUGUAAAACCAGUUCAAAGACCUUUUUUUUUCUUAUCGAUUUUGAUUCAUCUGAUCGAAUUUGAUUGAUUCAAUUGAGUUUCUGGGUUAAAUAUAGAAAAACAAAUUAUUCGGGAAAUCACUAAACCUUUUUAAUAGUCAAGAUUUAGCCACUCAAUUAUUAAUAGUAUGUUGUUUUCCAUUAAACUAUUAAUAAUAUCAAUUUUGUGCCAUUUCAUCUAAUUUCACUAUUGACUCUGUUAGAUCUAAGGGUCUACACAAGAUAUAUUAGUAAUGGUUAAAUCUGGUAGAGUUAAUGACAAAUUAGAUGGAAUGACCUAAAAUUUAAAUUUUUAAUAGUUUAGUGGGUAAAAACUUAGCUGGCCACUGUAUCCCGAGCCCAUGCACCUUCCUGAGUUCUGAGAUAGAGGUUUGGAGGGGGUGCCUAGGCAUCAAAGUGCUCCUUUCUCUUGGUGGAGGGGGUGCCGGGGCAGGGAGAGGACCAAUCCUGGCUUCUCCCGAGGAUGCUCGCGACGUUGCAGCCUACCUCUGGAACAAUUAUUUGGGCGGUCAAUCAAACUCUCGUCCAUUUGGUGAUGCUGUUUUAGAUGGUAUAGAUUUUGACAUCGAAUAUGGAUCGAACCUGUACUGGGAUGAUCUUGCCCGGGACCUCUCGGGAUACAGCAUAGCAGAGAGAAAGGUGUACUUAUCUGCAGCACGACAAUGCUUCUUUCCUGACUAUUAUCUUGAUGCUGCUAUCAGAACUGGCCUCUUUGAUUUCGUCUGGG